rnacentral:lncRNA from 1 species
UUCUUUUUUUUCUUUCUUUUUUUUUGUUUCUUUUUUUUUUGCAGAGGCCUAAAACUUUAUUUGGUACUAUAACAACCCAAACAAUAAGACUAUAGCACACAGCCCCUUCGAAUAUUAGAUUUAACAACUCUUGCUAAUACAACAGAUGCGGAAAUCUCUAAGACGGUUGUGGAGCGCUCAGACUGAAUUUUGCUGCAAGGUCAGAUCCGUUGGAAAGAAGACAACUUCAAGUUUCCAGAUUGUAUUUAAACUCCCAAAUCGGACAUCAUAUGAAACCGUGGUGGCAGAAAUGAAGCGAUGAUGUAUAUGGUGAUGGUGGGUCUCGUGGUGACCAAAACGUGAUAGAACUCAAAACUCUAAAGGAGUAGACACUAAGACCAGCAACUCGACACAACCGAUGCAACCAAAAACUCAACAAGCCCUAACUAAGCAAUGCUAGCAAAGGCUCAAAGAGUUUAUAGGAUUACAGGUAAACUAAUCUACUAUCUUUUUUGUGCUUUUCUGGACUAUAGGUAAUUAAAAAAACAGCAAGGAACUGGAAGUCUCUCACCGAUAAACCUUCCUCUGAUUACCAACUGAUAUGAACCCGCUAGGGUUGAUUCCCGAUCUUUCGAUGAGAGGCGUGGGAUAACUCGAUUGGUCGAUGGAGACGACGUUCAUGGCCCGACUACAGCCUUCCAAGCUGCGCCUUAGCAACCGAUACACCACCUCCAAUGGCUGCCGCGAUCUUGUGGAGCGCGUCACCCGGCCACUAGGGCACUCGUCCUGCAAGCAAUCAAAGAACAAGCAAGAACAAGUAGAACAAGCAACUAAAUUGCAAAUAUGGAGAUGAAAACAAAUCUGAAAUCACAAAGUUGGGGUUCUGAAUCGAGUAGAACGGAUGGUCUAGUCGACACACGCGUCUACAAGGAAGUAGCAAUGGCUAAACUUUCAACAAAACAAAACUCAAUCUGUUCGUGGCGGCUCUAAUCCUUAUUAAUACCUAGGAGGACGACCAGGGGGGUGUUGGGGUCGUGCUCCAACCCUAGGACACGUCCCUAAUGGACCCAACUUGAUACACGGCCCAUCGGGCCAAAAUAGGGCGACACAGCACCUGUUGACAGAAAACCUCUCAGUAGUAUUUCGAUGAUUGCGGCCGCCUCAGAAUAGAUAUGGACAUGAUUCCGGAUCCAUAUGAAAAUAGACUUCAUAAGGAUUCCAAGGAGUACUUGAACGCCCAAAACGGAGUCCGGAUGAGGUCAUGGCGGUCGUUGCAAGUUGGGGUAGAGCUGUAGUCCGAAUCCAGCACCAAAACGUGUUGGAUUGGAUCUCUUUCUUUCCUUGGGCCAAAAGUGACGUGGUGGCCUGGUGGAGGACGUUAGGAAUACUUGGACUUGGCCCCCAAUCUACUUCUUUGGUCCUCUAUACCUUCCAUGUGUGUUUAACACUAUUUUUGAUCCAUGUACGUAUUUCUGAAAUUGACAACGAAAACACAUCAUGGUGCAGCAUCAAUUCAUCAAAUGUGUCACAUAUAAUUAUGAUAAAGAAUUGUUUCACCUCGGAGUCAAAAGAUGCCAAUAUGGUUGUAUCCAAGCAUGUGAUGUCCUCAUCAUCCCCUACCUCACUCCGCCACCCCUGGAGUGCCGCGCCGCCCCUCCCCUAUCUCCCUCCACCGGCGAGCCGGCGAGCCGCGCCGCCCCUCCCUGCCUCCCUCCUCCGGCGCCGCUCCCCUUUCUCCCUCCCUUCACCAAACAGAGCAGCGGUGGCUCGGUGUCCUCAUCUCCACGGACAACAGCUCUUCGUGGCUGGUGGAUCUGGGCGUCCAUGGCGCAUGGAGGAGGAGCUGGUGGGGGUGCUGCUGCCAGCGGUGAUGGGAGGAGCAGCGGGGAAGAAAAGAUGAGUCAAUACUAAAUCUUACUCCAUGCACAUCCAAACACGAAUAGGUAUUGGCACUCUAGUUGAAUUCCAUAUAGCAAUUUCAUCAAUAUCCAAACAUUUGGCAUUGUGACCCAAAACUACUCUGAUUUAGUAUUGAGACCAAUUCAAUGUCAAAGUCCACAAUAUCGAUGUCCAAACGAAGCCUAAAGAAAAAGAUGCCCCACAUAUGAAAUUUAUUUGUCUUUCGCCCGUUAAGAUAAGCCCAGCCCAGUGCAAUUCAGCCCAGCACCCCACGCAAGAUCCAUGGUUAGUUGAUUUCCUCAAAUCCUCAGUUGCGUUCACUAAACCUUUAGAAAAAGUAAAGAAAAGUCUACAAUCUAAUUAAGUUCAUUACAAGUAUCGACAUUUAGCACAAACUUAUGAAAUAUGUAAGUACGAUCUUACAGUAGAUGAUUUCCAAGGUGACAUGGACAAGGAUCUGAGAAAAUGGAGGCAGUAAAAUUAAACAAUACGUUAAAGUUUAAACUUAACUCCUAAACACCUAGGAAUAUAAGCCCUAAUUAAGCUUCUGAGAAUAGAUAUUCACUUACGGGCGUCUUAAUGACUGACUGUGCUGUGUGUAGGUGGGGAGCCAACGGAUAUCAGUACCAUACUACUGCUGCAGUCCAAACUUAUAGCAACAUCAGCGUUUUCACUUUUCAGCAGCAUCAAUGGUGAGGUCAGAGGAGGAAGAAGAUGGGGGAGAUGGAGAUCGAAGGAAGAAAGAUGAAAGAUCCAAGCCGCUUCCAAUUCUUUCCUCAAUCUGCCACUGAUCACGGUCCUGCUAGGAGAUACUCUGCUUUUUCUCUCCGUUUAUAUGUGAGGAAACGCCCAGCAUGAAAACACGAGCACAAUGCGUAGGAAAAUGUGAAGGUUUAGUGAGGAACACGAUACAAGGUUUGUUACAUCAUCAAACACGCUUCCUGAAUCUAAAUAUUUGACAAAAAAAUAUUGUAUGUUUUUCUAAAACUUUAAAAACAUUUUGCAUCCAAACAAGGUCUAAAUUUUGGUAUAUCCACCUAUUUUUGCUGAGAAAAAUGUUAGAUCACCGCACUAAGCUUUUAAGCGUAGUUGAUCAAUGCUGUAUGUUGUUUCAUAUUGCUUAGUCCUCUUGCUUCCUCAACCCCUCCUGUAAUCCGUUGCCAUCAAGGCACAAUAACCUUGUAAACGGUGCUUAAUACCGUCCAUUACCGGUCUACAUCAGUGGUAAAAUUCAGGUGCAAAAAAUUCCCUUGCCAUAAGGGGAUAGCUACUAGCUAAUUCCUGUGAGGGAGAGGCAAAAAGGCCAACUUCGAUCCCAGCACAGGUUCAUACCCCACUGGUACGACCCCGUGUUAAAAAUGGUCCGGUUGAACAAAGUCCACUCCGAAUUCACAGUUCUUUGCAGCGUGUAAGUGAAAGAAUCCACGUAACAUCCGAAAUCUUAAAAAAUAAAUCGGACGACUUGACAUAUAUUCUAAUAAUUAGAUAUCAAUGUUACAACUAUUAUUUUAACAUAUUUUAGAGUAAACGUUGAGAUUACGGAGGAAAUGCCAUCGCCUGCUGCCUCCCGACACCCUCCCGCAUGCGGUGGGUUCCACCGCGCUCCCACUGACUUUACCCCACCCCUCGCCGAGGUGCAGUACCGUCCACCGCGCUGCCGGCCGUGCCAACAAAGCCUAGAUCAUUUGACCCUGCUACUGCAACCCCCUCCCGAGAUGAGAGAUGUUUUCAGGAUUCACCAUCAUUUCCCUUUUAGCUUAAAGCUGUACCUUAGCAUGUGGUUACAAUCCUCUACUGGUACCAACAUUGUACCAAAUGUUAGUUCUACACAUGUCAAUUUUAAAGGUUUACAAUUAGGAUUACCCUUUUUCCAGCCUAAACAUGAGCUUCAAGUUGUUCAUAGUUGAUAUAUUAUAGGAUCUAAAUCUAACAGCUAUGGAGGUAAGAUAGCUAUCUAACAGCCCAUGUGUGGACUAAUUGUAGCCACACCAUCUUUACCACUAAUUUCUAUUGUAGUUAUUUGUAACCAAUAAUAAUUUUAGUGCUUAUCAGUUCCUAUGCAGAUACAACACAUGCCAAAAGAAAAGCAACUCUGAUAUAUGAAUUUGGAAUUAUUUUUACAAACCUCAGCUCUAAGACGAGCAUUCUCAGCCUUUAAUACACAAAAGGCCGCAUACUUUCUUUCUCUGUUCAGACUUGAUUACCAAGAUCGCUAGCGUGCAAUUGACCAUAGUCCAUAUGGAUCCAUCUGGCCCAUCUUGGAGGCAAAACCAUAUGGAUCCAUCAAGCAUCUCAGAUUAGACAUAGGAAGCAAUGACAUUAUUAGUGGAAUUUAAACAAAGAAAAUUGCCCUUGGACGAAGGAUCAACCGGAAGUUGCACGCGUGAAGUCGUGAAUGGCUGACCUUAUGUGGUUCUUGUUCUACCGAACCUGCAAGUCAAAAUGCAUUCGAAUCCUCCUGAAGUAUAGUCGAAGUGCACGAAUACAUGCAAGGACAACGACCGCCUCAUCGCCUGCCUGCCUAGUGUUGGCCCUGGCCAGGGUACCACCACCCAUGCAUGAUGUCAGCCGGCACGCCGGCGCCGCUGGACAUGCUUGGUUGCACGCCACCAAAAACCAUGCAACUGUAGCGUGGCGGGUGUGGCCCUGUGUGGCUUGGUUGGGAACCAAGCACGCCCCACCAUCGCAGUUGCUCAGUCGAUUCUUCGUCUCCCCGUUUGCGUGGCAAAACUCCAACAACAGGGAUGGAUGCGGCUCUCAGGUACGGCACCGUCAUGCUCCGACGGCAUGUUCCCAUCAAUCACUUGGAAGUAGGAAGCUGGGCAGAAGAAUCAGACGGAAGUAACAGCGAUGUGCUGGGCUAUCAUAGAUUAGAUUAGAUGACUCUGGGUGACGCGGGUCGAGGAGGAAAAGCAGAGCUGAUUUUUUAGAUAGAGUCGAACAGAGAAUAAUGUGAGAAGGGUGGAUGGUUCAGUUUAUGAGGAGGUGGCAACGAACUGUGAGAUUUUCUAGUCAAAAUUUCUCUUUUGUUAGCAUUGUAAAAAUCCUCUAGAUAUCUAGAUUAAAAUCUCUCUAUAACGGUAGAGGUUGGUAACUUAGAAAGGAUUACUUUAGACUAUUUUCAUAAUGGCAGAUGUGGGUAAUUUAGAUUUACAUUUAGGGGUUACUUUAUGUUACUUUUAUAAUAGUAUAGGUGGGUAAUUUUUAAAAAAAUAUAAUAGAUCCGAUGGCUAUAAUAAUUUGAUAAUUUGUGGAAGACGUGGGUAAUUUAGAUUUACAUUUAGGGGUUACUUUAUGUUACUUUUAUAAUAGUAUAGGUGGGUAAUUUUUAAAAAAACAUAAUAGAUCCGAUGGCUACAAUAAUUUGAUAAUUUGAGUCUACCGAUUGAUGGCUAGAUGUGUUUGCUUUUUUUUGAGAAUUUCUUAAAUUUCUCUCUUUUUAUAGAGUGUUCACUUAGAAUCAUGUAUGGCUUCAAGUGGAGGAUUCGAAAGAAGCAUGUAAGAUUGGUUUGGUUGGGUGCAUAUAUUUGUUUGUGGGAUGAGUAAUGUUAGCCGAACUACAAGAGGCUAGCACCUGUUGCGGGCCUUGUGCAACAUCCUUCAGCCUUUACCUUGUGCUUGAAUCUAGCAGGUUAAUUGAGCAGUGUUGGACUGGGAGUGUAAAAUCGCAAUGCGGUUUGAUGAUUAGGUCCUGGAGGCAUGAAUAAAAAGCAUGUGCUGUUAAGAGUGCAACAGCAAUUGCUGGUAUGUACAUGAAAGAUUUCAUUGAACUCCAGUAUCACUAUUAGCACUGAUUUCAUUGAAUUCACCUUCUACAGAAAUAUAGAAUCAGAGAGCACUUGCAGACUCCAGGGGAAGUAUUCAUGGUCCUACGCCAAACACGUGCUGCUUGCCCUCAUUACGGUAACAGACAUAAUUACAAAUCUGAAUGGUUAUAUGAUCCGUAUAGUUCAGUGGAAGUCGAUUUCACUAAAAACUAAAAUCAGUAAACUUUCUGUAACCAGUCAUCUGGAGCAUUCCACUUCAGCUUUCAAUCAGCCUUCGACUGUUUCAAUGACAAUUGUGGGAGGUUAUACAGAAUCAGACCCAUCAGCAAUACCACAGCACCAAUGAUGAAAGGCGUGCUUAGCUCUGCACCAUGAGGUAUGUAGGGCAAAGGAAGUGAAAGGAUGUAGAUUGAUAUUGGCACUACAACAGAAAACGAACAUGAUUCAGCAAGGUCGUGGAGAAAUUCUUUUGAUCUGAUGUACAGCACAGUGGCACUAGAACCAAAAUGAAGAUGAAAAUUUGAGGAGGGGAAAGGCAAGGUGCCAUAAAAAGGAACCUGCUGAAGUUGAAGUAAGGGAAGCAACAAGGGCAGAUGACAGCUUCACCAAAUUGAGGAGUGCGAUAUUGAACGCCAUAUUCACCACUAUAAACAGCAAAGGCAGGAACGGCGCUCCUCCGCAAUCUAUAAAACAGUAGCAAGUGAGCACCAAACGCAUACAGCUUUUCCAUUUUCCUAAAAAAGGUGACCUACACAUACAUGUAAGUUAGAAAGAAAGGGUCCAACAAUAGAUAUCCUUAAAUAACAGCCAUCGAUCACAAAAAUAACAUAACAUAACAAGUCACUGUUUCUUAGUAUAUCAGGAGCACUUAACCAUGAUUUGAAUACAUUUACUUUUUGCUAGUCAGCUAAUUGAAGUGUACAUACUCUACUACAAUAGUAUAUAAAUUAAAUGAAAAUUUUCGAUUAUGUGAAAGAAGCAUCACCAAUUGGACUUUCCCCAACAUUUAAGAAGCACUCAGCACCACCAUUUAGAUAACCAGGAAGCUCAGCAAACUUAAUUCCCCUCAAGUUAGAAAGAAAUGGAAGAAGAAGAAAGACAAAAAGGGCCUGCAAAAAAUAUAAUACAAAAUUAUAUAAUAUUCAAUCCAGGUUCAAAGACAUGGUGAUGAUGAUGUUUUGAAGCAUUAAACAUGAAACUCUAGACCAAGUUUAUCCAAUUUAUAAGGUCACCUGGAAUCCAGAUCCAAAUGAAUUAACCACAAAGAUGUCUGGACGCUUCCCCUGUGAAAUUUUUUGAUAACACAGUAAUGUUAUGAACAAUGAUUUGACCAUGAGUUCAUAAAUAAAAUUACUGGUCAAUCAACAAAACAAAGAGCCAAUAAAUAUGCCUCAAUCCCAGAAACAUGGUCAUAUACCCAAAAAAAAUGAUAGAAGAGAAAGAACCUUAAGACGUUUUGCACCAUCAAUGAAAACAGCCUCCUGUCAUUCACAAUGUACCAAGUCUCAGCACCAGCAGAAAAAGGAAUAGCAUAAGAUAACUUAAGCAGCUAUACCUUCAGAAUAGAUGCACCAGCUUGAAAUGCAGAUGAAGUGAUCAUCAGUGUUGGCCAAAUUAACUGGACUCCAGACAGAAACUGACCCUCAUCCGCUCCACUAAAAUAUCAAUUUUUUGUGAUAGUCAUAGCCAAUCGAUCAUAAGUUACCAGUAUGGCAAUAACCAAUUUGCAAAAUUAAUAUGAUAGAAUAACAACUCUUCAGCAAACUGUAGCUGAUAGCAGUGAAAGACCCAAAUGCAUGUAUACAACUUUUCCUCCAAAAACAUGUUGCGCCACAGGGAUCAGAAAAUAAAGCAAAGUUUUAAAAUGGCAUACCUUGCAACAGCAAGAAUCACACCAGAAAUUACUAGGAGGCAACCAAUUAUUUGUCUCACAGUGUAGGUCCUUCCCAAGAGCAGGGCAGAGAAGAUAAGCUGCCACACCAGGAAUGACUGCAGCAUACAUUCGGAAAAAUCCACAUCAUUACAGAGCCGCAGCUGUUUUGAACACUAAUCACUAACUGGAUCCUGGAUGGCAUUGGUUAUAUACUGGCACUAGCCACCUAAUAUUAGCAUGGAUCCAGAAAACUGGUAUUAAAGUUCGCAUAGGUUACAAACAUGCACAAAAAUGAAACAUUUUAACAAAGGACUACACAUAUAGCUGAACAAAUGUUAAGAGCUGAUCAAACCCAAAACCAACCAAAGGGCAUACCUGGGAUAGUAUGGGAAUAGCAGGUCCAGGCAGCAUGGCUGCAAAAUUCAGAAAAGAUAACCAGUUAAGUGAUCAAACAUGAGCGUUGAACAUUCUGCAGGAAACACAGUUCCCUUGUCCUGUCCUUUCGAUCAAGCAGGAAAUAUUUAAUCUGCCAUAAUUGAUUACACCACAUCCUGUGGAGUGUAAAGAAAGCUCAAAGCUACCUCCAGCGGACAUGCCCGAAGCGACUCCGAGCGCCUCCAGCAACCCGAUGGCAACGAAGCGGCGCUUGGGGAGCGCCAGCAUAUCCCGGGUCACCACCCCCGCGCGGUGCCUGGCAUAGAGUAUCGAGAAGUACACGGCGACGUACCUGCACGCGCAAAUCACGGAGAAAUUAGCAAGCUAGCACGUCAAGCGCGCCGAAAUCCCGCCCCCGCAUUACGUCGAACAUCAAUCUGGCGGCUGCCUGGGACAGCAGAGGAAGAAAAGGGGGAGCUUUGGUUUGGCUUUUCUUACUUACCCGAAGGUGGUGAGCUGGGCGAGGAAGAAAGGGUACGCCUUGAGCGGCACGAGCGCGAGCUUGUACAGCACGCGGUUGGCCACGGCCAGAGCCACCACUGCCGCCGACGCCGCGGCGGUGGCCACCGGCGAGGAGCCCAUCGCGCACACGGCAGCGUUACACCGCCAGGCUAUUCAGCUAGUCGAGGGAGCGUUGGGCUGAGAUGGGGUGAGGUUCCGAGAGAAGGAAGGACAUCGAAAUGGAAUCGCCGGACUGGGAACCCAGCAUGAAAAACCGUGGGGGCGGCGGCGGCGGCGGCGCUGGCGGCCGCCGCGUGGAUUGCUUGCCGUGGGGGUGCGGGAAUCAAAGCGUCUCUGCUCUUCUCCCCUGUUUUUUGGUAUUUAUGAUUAGGCCCCUAGACUUUGCCCCUUUUGCCUUUGUAAACUAUGGUAGGAGGAAAGGAAAGUUGCGCAAGGAACCUUUCCUUACGUGGCUGUAGCAUUUGACCGAGCUCUUUGCUGUUGAGACUUCAACGGCUGACCGGAUUGCGCAGCCUUCAGGGGGAAAAAAACCAUUGGCCUCGAUGUGCUUAAAAAAAAUUGUAAACUUCCAUGUGUUUUUAUAGUAUUAGCUGUAUGGACAACCCUGUCGAUAUUACUGGUAUUUAUGAAAAUAGCAAAAUUCACUUGAUUAUUUUAUUGACUCAGAUUUGAAGAGAAUGGUUGUGCCACUAUAGAUGGCAUGGUGAGAAAUUGUGUGUUAAGGAUCUUAGAACAUUAACUCUUAUGAUUCCUCCGGCAAGAAAAAUUGACGGUUUCGAUUUUCCAGUUAUAGGAGUUUACUUCUGAGAAUAUACUAGAAAAUAUAAUAAAUUUUACGAGAUUACAAAAGUAUACAUUUAAGAUAAAUUAUACAUAUGGUAUUUUCUUUCAAACAAAAUGUUUUCAAGAGUUUGAUCGUAACUUGUAAAACAAAGUAUUUAUGACCAGUCCUAAAAAAAAGUAUUUGUAUUUAUGACCAAGAAGCUAUAUUUCAAUGUAGGGUUGAUCCAAUGACUAGACUUUCCAUAAGGCUAGUCCCAGUGUAAGGUUUCAUCGCACUGUUUCCAAGGAUGCCACCUCAUCCCAUGAGGUGUAUUCUCAUGAAUAAAACAGAGAGUCCCAGUGCAUAGUUUCAUUUCAUGAUUUUAUAGGAUGACCAUGACAUUUAAUUGUGAGACAUGUGAUUGGAUAUGGUUAGAUGAAAUGAAACUCUAUAGUGUAUACACAGUUUUAUCAUGAUGAAACUCCUUUCCUCUCUUACUUCAUAACUAUCAUGUCAUGUCAUCACAUAUGCUGAUGUGUUACGGUAUUUAAUGUGCAUGAAACCUCUAUGAAACUCCCACUGGGAUUAGCCUAAUUUAACUUGCAUUCCAACGUGGACAGCAUGUCCGCAUCACCACAUGGAACCUCUUAAUUGCUCCUAAUGAGGUCAGCAGAUAAGAAUUUAUGGAGGGCAAAGAACAAAAACAAGAAAACAAGACUUACACCGUUCAGACAAGCCAAAAUAACAGAACAUCAAUGAAUUUAAUGGCAUCUGCUUGACAGAACAUUUCCCAUUUGAUUUUCUUUUCCGCCAACACCAUUCAGCCAAGCCAAUAUACAUUUAUAACUUCCUAUGUCAAUAUAUAAUUACAGACUUACAUUUGAGUCAAAACCUACACUCACUGCACUCUGUGUCAGAUAUGCAAACAGAUGCACGAUGGCAUAACAAGGCACAUCUGCAUUCUGUCGCAAAAGAAUACACAAUUGAACACAAUCUGAACUAGAAGUUUCACUCCCUCUCGAGGAAUUGGCAUCAUACACAAACUAAAAUUGAACGACUUAAAUCAGAGUAAACACAGUGAGCAAAAGGGGCAAGCAAGAAUUUACAAAAGAAUGGCUCCUUGAGCACCUCUAUCACCCCCAUCCCCCGAAAAAAAAGAACAAAUGCACGACCAGCAGUUAGCAGGUCGCUGAUGUCGAUUGAAAUAGGUGGAUGUAGAUUCGUUUCUGUCAUUCUGUGUUGCUGACUUGCGUGCAAAUAAUAAGUAGCAACCAUGGAUUUCAACUACGAUCAUAAGUGCCCUUGGCACGUUAGGUUGAUAGGAAACUCUACAUGAUUGCACAGUUGCACUUUGAUUCGAUCUUUGGAGGCUUCAUGCUGUCAGAUGUCCUUGAAAAUUCAUGAACCUGUUGCACAGGUAUAUGAUCUUUAGCGACAACUUCCAUCUUGGCAGUUUCUGUGACCGUUCCACCUUCUGAUAAUUUCCUAUGUCUUGGCAUUCGCCUGUGGGUCGGCUUCAGUGAACUAUCACCCCUUGGAAUGGAUUGUCCUACCAUGGUAACUGUUGGGCGAGGAGCAGAAGCAAAUUCUGACUGCUGCUCACGCUCCAGUCCAAUUGUUGCAGCCCUGAAUGCAAUGUCAUGAGCAAUGGAACUGCAGAAGAGAAUUGUAUCCGUAACCUCUUCUAAAGUGAAGCAUCUCUGAAUUUGCUCCCUUGAUCCCUCAACUGUAGCCAGCAAUCCUUCUACAGGUCAGACAUAAAUUAGUGUUAAUUAAUUGACAUAGGCACCAAAUAUGUUUAAUCAAAUUCAAAUGGAAAACGUGCUGGAUUUGUGGCAUAACUACAGUGAGGAUAAGCAGAAAUGUAUAGCUGAUCUAGUUGCCAUAAAUCAGUUACAAAAAUCUUGAGAAAAGACAUAAGUGCUAUUGAAAAUUCACUGCAAUGCCAAAUGGAGCCUAAUCACCGGAAAUAUGUUUAUCAAAUAAGAGUGCAUUAUGUUCGUAUUGAAAAUGCUUGCAAUACACAUCACUUGCAAGAAAACUGAAAACAUGAGACAAAACCAGAACUUUUUAGCACUAAGAAGUGAAUAUGUAGCAAACUAGCAAGUCAUGGAUACAUACCAUUAUCAGGAAGCUCCAUUGUGUUAGCCUCUGUUGCAGAAAACAACACAUCCUCUUCAGAGAUGACAGAUACACAACCAUCAUCCAAUCUCUUUGCCUCAUUAGAAGCUGGAACUGCUUCAUACUGCAUUUGAUAAUUAUCAACGCCACACUCAUCACCAGGAUGUUCUGGAGUGCCAACUGAAUAGCACUGACUGACAGCAGAUGUACCUUCUUCAGUUUUUUGUAUGCAACUUUCUUCAGGAGCCAAAGACAGUGGAAUAUUGCUAUGUGUUUCGGUAUCUGAUGAACAUGUGUUGGCACUUAAGUUCUGAAUAGCAUCUCCAAAUGAAUCAAUAUCAUCAUUAACAAUAGCCUUUGCAGCAGACCAGCACUCUAUAGUGCUUGAGAGAGUGCACUUACAUGACUCAUCAAGUUCCUCAGUACAAAUCAUGGUUCUUGAAGCACUGCUUUCUGAAUUGUCGGUUAGGAAGCCAAUAUCUACAAUUGCAUUUCUCCGAGGACAAAUUGCAACUGAACAAUUGCUGGUUGACAUAUCUGACAUUGAUGCAAUGCUUUGACAACUGACGGCACUACUUAUUUGAGACUUCUCAAAGUCAUAGUGAUUACUACUUUUGUGGCGCUCAAAAUGUACUGAUUGCCUUGAAGACCCUUGAUUGAUGGAAGAAGCAGCUGAUGAGCUGUCCCAUCCAAUGGUAGGCUUCGGCGUAUUGACACAAUCCCUUGUAUAAUAGGGUUCUGAACAGAGAAUGUUGGUAGCAGCUAAGGGUCUCCCUUCUACAACAGGCCAUUUGUUGCUGCUUGACUCCUGCAGUAAAAGUACUGAAAUCCCAGCACCCCUUGUAUUUUCAGUCUUCAGGUUUAGAUGCUCUGAUCCCACUUUAUGAGUGGUAUGUUUAUCAGAGACAAAUUCAAUACUUUCAGGCAAUGACUGUGCCAGGCAUUUGGAUACCUCAUUGUUGUGGUUGGCAGUUUGGUCUCUUAAAAUAUCGCACUCAAUUACAGAUAUUGGUUCUUUUUGUUGACAGUCACUUACGCUACAUUGAUGAGAUGAACUAUCAAUUUUAUUUCCUAGCGGAGAGUCACCAAUAUCAUGUGGCUUUAAAUUUUGAGAAACAUUCUCCCCAUGUUGCCAUGACAACAUUCUGUCAGUUGUAUCCAUUGUUGACUUUGAUUCAGGGCACUUUUGCAGACAACCACCUUGAGGUUCAUCAUUCAGCAGCUGACUGUCAAGAGAUGACUUCUUGAUACCCUCAAUGCAAUCUGGAGUUAUAUGAGGAGCUUCCCAUGCAAUGCAAGGUUUAGAAUUUCCAAUUUUGUGGUUUGGUUGAUGUGCUUCUUCCAAAGUCUGUAUCUUUGGGUCCACAAAAAGAAUCUCAUCUACUAAAGCACAUUCAUCACAGAAAUCAAUUUCUCCAUCAUCUCCUAUUUCAUUGAAUAACUUUCCACACCUAGUGCAUGUUACCAUUUUAGUGUGUCCGACCUCAGAACUACUUGCAACAUUACAUGAACUCUGAGCUAUUCUACUUUUUUCCAUAUCAAGGCCCUCUAUGGUGCUUUCUGCAUAUUUUACUGUUCUUGGAGAUUUUGGGCCACUUUGAGUAGUUGAUAAACUGCACUGAUGGCAAUUAGGUCCUCCGUUCAGCACAUCCAACUUAUCAAACAUAAAUAUAUCCUCAUGAAUUACGGAACUAGAUGUUGCUUCACAUUGACUCACGACAUCAUUCUGUUCUUGGUCAUUAACCAUACAAGGGCCAAAAGUGACACCGUGCUCGGAGCUUAAAUUACUGCUUGUCAUGAAAGAGGAAUCAUGCGACAACAUAGAUGAGUGUACAUCAUCUCCUUUGACAGCACCAAAUGUGGUGGAAGGAACACUUGAUAGAAGUGGCCUGAACUUAUCUUGAGGAGCUUUGCGUUGAUCCUAGAAAAGGAGUAUACCAUUUGGUUAUAUUGCGGACAAUCCAAAAGGAAGGCAUAAAACAAGAGAAACGGUUCUCGCUUGCAUUAAAAGUAGAUCAAAUGCACAAAUAAAUCAGUCUAGGUGCACAGAAAAUGCAGUUCUACAAGAGAAGCUAUAUUGAACUAUGAAAUGAUUACAGAACAACUUAUGGUAUGUAAUCAUGUGCAAGGUCAUUUGAAGCCAGUAAUACGACCAAUUAAAUAUAACUUUGGCAACAAAAUACCAGCAAAGUACGAAUCACCUCUGUUUUUCAAGGAUCAUGUGAAACAAAGGCAAUGACAAAAGAGUUUCAAGAACAGGAAAGUAUCUUAAAUAGAAAUAUGCAUCAGCUGGACACAAUGAGUAAAAAUGAUAUUAGUAAAAAAAAGGAACAAAAUAACUAUAAGGAUAGAAAGGUUUUCAACUUUUACUAAAUGAAUAACUAAUUGUCUUCAAGGGGGAUUCUACCAUGUGAUGCAAAAACAAAUAUUACAUCAUCAUACCAAAUAUGAAAGAAACAGAACAAUGCCUACCAUCAACCAAACUGCAGAAUCAAAGGACCUCUUUGGAGCAGAACUAGGAUAGAAAUUCUUGGAUGGCUUCUUAGGCGAUGCAAUAGUUCUGGAUUUCAUUACUGGCAAGUUCUUUCUUACAGCUGGGCUACUGGAUCUGGAGUAACUAAUUGGUAUAGAUUGCAUGGAUUCUAGAUCAUCUUCAGCAGAAGAUCUUGCAGAUGCUUUGCUGUAUGAGCCGAAAUGAUCUCGGUCAUUGCUGUUGUAUGAACUGGCUCUUCUUGAUGGAGGAGGAGAUAUAGAUUGCCUUCUACCUCUCCGAUUCAUGUCCAAUCCACUGAAAGAUGAAGGAGAUCCACCCCUAGAACUGGAUACUGGACGAUCUGACAGAGAUGUGCGCAGGUUCGAAGGUGCUUCAAAAGAGAAACCAGGGUCACUUGACUGAUCACCUUGAAGGUUUAGCGAAUAUGACCUGUGACUAGCUUUAACUGGUGAAUUUCCCCUUCUUCCAUUUGAAAUUGGAUCACUUGAACCAGUACUCAUCCUCCUUGAAGCAGGACUUGGUGACCUUCGUGGAGGUGUUAAUGUCUUAGAAGCUGGAGGAGUUGAAGACCUCCAUGACGGUGUUGCUGGUUGUAAAGCAAGAGGUGUACUGCAACGUGAAGAUGAAUUUGACGAUCUGGUCCUAGUGAACACAGUGCUGCUACAUGAGCGUGGUGAUGGGCUAAGCCUACUUGGGCUUGCACUGCUUCUGUUAGACCUUCGAGUACUAUCCAUCUGUGCAAAAUCAGAAAGGAAUAUUCACACUUGAUAGGUAGGUCUUGUCAAUUGAAAAUUUUGAAUAUCAGGACCAUGUCAUGAGAUAAGCACUCACUGUGGAUGACCUCGAAAUUGAUAUUGGCUUAAUCUGUGCCCUGCCCCUAUGAGCCAUACCAAUGCGCUGGUAUUCUUCAUCAUCCAGUGAACGAAAAAGUGGGGUCUCUGGUGGAGUCAACAACCUGUUAAGCAAAAAAGUUAGAUGCCUGGUAAGUAAUGGCUUACACCUGACAUAUGAAAUGCCCUGGGCCUUAACAGAUGGAAGCAUGAAGGAGACACUGUUGAAACUCAAACUCCCUAACUCAAUGGCCACGGCAAAGCCAGACCCAUCCACCAGCCCUAGUCUGCGCAGCCCUGAAUUAUGUGCCAGCUGUAGCUGCCCAUGGCUACACACAGAAGUAUACCCCCACAUGACACAAGAACUAUAGGUAAAUGGAGUUUUACUGUUUUAGACAGCACAAAAGCUUAUAAGUCAAACAAAAUAUGUGAAAGCUGCAGUAUUUAAGCAUCAGAGUAAGGAAACCUUAAAUGAACUGACAGAAAAAAAAUAAGGAAAUCUAGAUCAGGAAGCUUCUUGAGGCGUAUAGGAAUCACGCGUUAAUCAGAAACCACAACUCAACAGAGACAAGAAUGUUUGGCUAUAAAACAAGAGAGAAAAACUCAACAACAAAACAGCAAAUGCCAUGUUGCAAAAAGGGAGAACUCAAUUAUCCAUAUAAGCUCAUUGCAUGCCAAGAAUAAGCAGAACUAAUACAAAAACUCAACCAACAUAGGAGGCACUAAGUGGCUUUUAAUUAAGAAGAAAUAGGCACCCAAAUUCGCCUCGCCGAGGACUUGAACUUGGGUGACCUGGGCGGACAUCCAUACCCUCAACCAACUGAGCUAGGCUCAGUUCCUAGCAGCACUAACAAGAGAAAGGUUCUAACGAUGUAUUACUCAUUAGUACUCAGAAUGAUAACUGCUCUUCAUUGAUCAAGCACCUAUUGACAGUGUGACCUACCGAUCUAAUAAUGUGGCCUAGCCAGAAAUUACAGUGUCAGGUAGAGGCAUUCAUUCCUUGUAUGUGGUAUAGUAGAAUAGUAUUCAGUAGACCAAACAAAAGCACUAAUUUUACUGAAAGACCAAAACAUUAACAGAAUGAUUAGUAAUGAAUAAUAAAAGAUCCUUGCUGUUUUGGUGAGCCUACAGCACAACUGUAGGGCUACUAUUGGUUUCGCACACCCAGUGAGUUCCAAACCUAGUGGUGGCACAGACUAGCAGCUGCAUGGCUAGUUUCUUGCAAAUCAAAUGAGUAUCUGAGUUUGCUAUAUGAUUUUAUUACUUUCUAUGCAUUCGCGUACCAUAGUUAGGCAACCCCCUCUCUGAACAAUAGGGAGGAAUCAACAAUAAAGGGCAAGGAGGAUCCUGGUUUUGCUCUCAAAUUGCUUGAUUUUAGGAGCAGUGUGCAUUUUGUGUCAGGGGUAAGAUGAUGGGGAUCUAUCCCAUCUGCUGAGCUACUUACAUACUUAACCAGAAGACUAAGCAAUUUGUAACUCACUGCUUAACUACUCAACAUCACAUAAUGAGAGCCAAUCUGUACUAAACAUAACAAAGACAUAAUAAGCAAGAGAUAUGACAUCCCCCAAAUAACUCCAUAAACUAUUUUUAUUUAAACACCUAACAUAAACUAUAUUUGUUGAAACUAAACAAAGUAACAUGCGUAUUAAACUAUUAAGCAUGGAGCAAACCAAAGAAACAUGUGCCAUUAAGUGUACAUACCAAUCAUAAUCGUUUCUCUCACCAUCAGCAUUAAGCAAAUCUCGGUUUUCACCCCUUCCAGCUAUGUUGACACCAAGCUUUAAAUCCGGAAAAUAGCUCAACUUUGCUGAUACGCAGGAUCAGAAAGAAAGAACAUACAGUAAAUAUGAUAAAAUCACAAAGUUCACACUAGGAAAUACAAUGUUGCGAAAACUGUAGGUAGAUCACAAGGAUGACAUUUAUAUGCCUUACAGAUAGAUUCAUCAAAAUCCUCUGCCGGGUCCAGUAAGAAGUUGUCCCUCUCAUGUUUCUGCAUAUCAGUGAACAAUGUGAGCUCGUCAUCCUUCGGUUUAGCAGGCAGAAUGCUUCCAAAACUAUGCCCCCUUUCAUGGGAAAUCUCUUUACGAGAUCUCCUAGGCGACGGUGAGGGGGGCAUCUUUGUAGUAUUUUAGUCUCUGGAAGGGAUUGUAGCUAUGCUCUUUCUCUCUGGGACAAGGCUGAGACUAAUCCAUUUGAAAUAUCUGCAAAUGGGCUUUCAUUAGUAAAGAAAUAGGCAGACAAAAAAUGCGCCAAAAAAUCAAAAAGGCAUUUGACAUGUAUCACAGUGAAAGAUAGGACUAGUUGCUGAUACACUGAAUAUGAAGGACGAGGAAUGAAAAGUUAUAAAAGAAGCCUGAGUUGUGAACUAUGCAUUGCCCAAAGUAACCAAUCAUCUCAUUGCUGCACAAAAUUAUCCACCCAACACCUACAUACUAACAUAGUUACUACCUUCCUAGAUAGCAAUGAAACAGGAUGAACCAAACAAAAGGUCCCAAAAGGGAGCCCAAAACUUGAAGAUGCCCCCAUAUUUGCCACAGUCCAAAGCCCAGUUUGCCCAAUCCAUCACAUUCUGGAUGAAAAAAUCCACCAAAUCAGGACAAAAAUAGCCAGCCCAGUGGCAGGUCUCCAAAAAUGAGGCGGACAACAAGCCAAACAAACACAAGAGCGUAUUGGGAACGCUAGCAUUCAAGCUCAGCAUUUCACAAUCCACAACACCACUAGCUGCAUCUAGCGAUCAAACAAGCGAGAUAAUAGAAACAAUCUGCUAAGCUCACAAUUCAAGAAACCCUUAGAAUAUGGGAGAGAAACAGAGAAAGCAACAUGCCAAUUGCCAGCAUCAAGAAAGGUGGCAAUAAAAAACCGAGAAUUACGCACUUCACUGAACAACAUUCAAGUAUCAAAGCAUCUACCCUUAAUUGACCACACUAGAGAGAGACACUAGCACACCCAACAACAGCUCAGUACGCCCCAGUCCACUAACCCGCAUUCCACCGCCGCCGCCGCUCACCGGCGCCCCCCGCCCGCCGGCGGUCCGCUCCACCAGCCGCGGCUCCGCGGCCCCCGGCGCGAGCCCCGAGGCAGAUCCGGCUUCGGGCCCGAGCAUUGGUGGGGGAUCCCAGUCGUCCCCGCCGCGCGCUCCUCUCCUCCCCUCCCCUCCCCUCCCGCGUACGCCCUCGGCCCUACGGGAGCUCGUCGGCGCCGCGCGUGGGGCGAUGCAGCGGGAUUGAGCUCGACCCGGUUGCUGGCUGCCCUGCAGGCUGCGCGCGUUGUGCGCUCGCUGGAGGGGGGAGGGCAGAGCAGAAGCGGAGGUGAGGGUGGGACUGGGGAAGAAGGUGGUUUUUGCUCUCUUGGGUUUUUUUUUUGGCAUUAUUUCAACUUUUUUGGUUUAUCUGGAUUUCGGAAAGAUGGAUUUAGUUGAGAGGAUUAGCUGUGAUGUGGCAAAUCGUUGUGGUGUAUUAGAUGGUAAGAUUACGAUUUUACCCCUAGGGGAGGAUGAGGAUACCGUACGCCACAGCUUUUUUUACAACUCAACCAAUUCCUGUGCUACGAAAGAAAUACAAAUACAAUUAGUGCUAGCAUAAGUAGAUGGUUGUUACUUGGCAGCAUUAUAUCACUUGAAGUCUUGAACAAAGAAGGUGACGAUGUUCUGUCAAUUUGGGUCAUUGAAAUGUUGACUUUCCUCUGACGUGCCAUGUAGUUUUGGCAGGAACCCUAUGAUACAACCAUAUUUUUACUAGAUGAAAGGAUUAUGAUUAGAAGCCACAUCAGCAGUCUACUCUGUAGGUGCUAUUUAGAUCAGUCCCAGUGCAUAGUUUCACGGCACAGUUCCCAAGGCUAACAAGUUGGUAACUGCGCCUGCUGGGUUUCACGGUGAUGAAACUCCUCUCACGUAUGAUGAAACUCCCUCUCCUCUCUUCAUAAUGAUCUUGCCACGUCAGCAAAUUUGCUGAUUUGCAUGUUAUUUAAUGGUCAUGAAACUUCCGACGUAACCUCAAUUGAGACUGGCCUUAUUAGACUACACCGUCAGGGUUACUGCGUUAAUGAAAUCGAUGUUAUUAAUCAUUGGAAGAUGGUAUGAUGGAAUCAAGAGAAACAUUAAGAUUGACAUUCUUGCACAUUAAUAUUGGUGAAUGCAUAAAAAAGAACAAACACAGUCUUUAACGUAAGUUUUAUUGAUUAACACAAUGUGAUUAAGGUACUAAUUUAAAAGGCGAGAUAAGAUAGAGGGUUAACUUUCAAGAGUAGAAUGACUUGUGAUACUACCCUAAUCCAAAAUUUAGGAGAAUUCCAAACCCCAUCUGUAUAAAUUCUAGACGAUAAAUAACAUUUCUACGGUAACAUAUUUAAUAAAUUAACCUGUACAUCUUCGUUCCAAAUUGUAGAUCAUUUUAAUUUUUCUAGGUUGAUAGAUAUUAUUACGCGCUUUUAUAUAUAUAUAUAUAUGCUAUAUCGGGAACUACAAAACUAAAACAACCCUCCCCCGGUCCAAACGCAGCAAAAACCAUCCACCAGCGCACGCACACGCGGGCAUGCGUGAUCUCAUCGCCCGAAAGAUGAUUGCGUCGACGAGGCGGAGCACGACCCGUCGCCAUCAAUCCCAACGUGCUCUGCUCCCCACAUGCGGAUGCGGCCACGGAGAGAAAAAGAGAGAGACCGGUGGCGUGCGUACGAGGGGGGAGGCGUGUCGCGUCGCGCUCGGGGCGCAGCCGCCGCAACGUCCAUGUCCGCCUGCGCUCCGCGUACGACGGCGGCGUCGCUGAUCAUAUCCGAUCCGCGCGCCGGCCGGCCGGUAGGUGGGCAGCUACCGUUGCCCGGUUUGGACCUUUCCUCCUGCUCGCGUGAAAGCCCCCUGCUGAGGGGACUUUUGCCUCCGGAGCUUAUCCCAAACAGGCAACAUCUUUCUCGCAUCACGGACUUGGUGUGUCACGCCUCUGGAACAACUCUCUUGAGCACCGUUUCCAAGAGAAUGGAGGAACAUAUAUAUAAUUAACCCAGGCUAGCAGGUCGUAUAAAACCUCUAGACGAGUACGUCGUUUGCGAGGUUAAGUGGUUUAUACUCACUUCAUUUUGGGCUCGUAGGUCGUUUUGAUUUUUUAGAUAUAUGUAUUUUUAUAUGCAUAUAGAUAUAUACUUAUAUCUAGAUACAUAGAAAAAUUUAUAUAAAGGGAGUACGUACGGUACUGGUAACUCUAGUAGAAGCUGACAAGCUGUCAACAAGAAUGAGGAUAGGAUAGGUUCACUUGUUAUUUGUCUAGAAUUAUAGGGGGAUUAAACGGGCGAAGGACAACUGCAUUCUGUUAGAUGUUUCGUGCGAAUUCAAUCGCUAUUCUUUUUAACGCAGUUAUUUGGCCUAUUUUAGUUUUGAAGACAAUUCCUCUACCCACAACUUCCACGGCAUGGGGAGCAAUCAACCAUCGGCCCGCCAUCCUACCUUAGAAGAUUUCGUUGCUGAGCAUGAUAGUCAGGCCCGGCCCGUAUAUUGGGUGGUGCAAAUGGAGCAAACGCGCAGCAGGGGCCCUCCCAAGUUAGGGGCCCUGAGGAUCCGUGGAUGCAAAAUUAAGUUAUACUCCGUCUGUUCCAAAUUGUUCCCCGUUCCAAAUUGCUGCCCAUCACUUCAUCUUCUCCUGUUUAUUUGUUUUUCCUCCAAUAAUCCUCCUUGCAAUUAUGCUGCAACCUAUCAAUUUUCCUCCCUGCAUUCUCGCUUCCCGUUCUACCAAUCAGGAUAAUAAGCACUCAAUCGUGAAACAUUAUAUAUAAUCUAAUCAAAAUACAUUUCCAUUACUUAUAUUUUCCAAAUAUGGGAUCCCAUUUUACGUUUCGCAUUAGGGCAUCUAAUCUUAGGUACAUACCUGAUGAUAGUCACUAGUGAAGAAGGCGGAGACUACCAUUGAUAGAAUCAGCCCGCAGGCACGUCGAUCGAAUGAGCACAUGAGUAAGAUGAGUUGACCACACCGUGUCACAACGAGCUAGGGACCUCUAUAUAUGAUUAUGAAAACGACGAAUAGAGCACAUCGCAAAUUGAUCGAGUAGAGGAAAAGAAGAGGUGAUCCUGCAAGCUUUUCCCACUAUUGCUCCACUCUCGGCUCCAACUUAUAGUAUUUUUGCUUAAUGUGGCGUGGUAGCUGAGGGUAAGCUGCAAACUAUAUUUAAUAUUAGAAGUGACCUAGUUACACAAACGCUGACAACCAACAACAGAGAAGGAGGGAGCUUAGGCCUGCCCCUUCCCUUCCCCGCCGUAUACGUCUUCCGGAAGAAAGCUAGGGCGUGUUUGGUUUCAAUUGCUUAUUAUAAGCAACUUAAAGUUGCUUAUUGUAGUUGCUUAUUUUUAGCUCUAGGUGUUUGGUUUGAGUUGCUUAUCUGAUUGCUAUUGACAUAUUUACCCCUGCCAUCCCAUUUCCCUCUACCCCUAAUAAUUACCCAGCUCCUGUGGGGACUGAGUGGGGCGCGAGCGGCGGGCCGCGGCGGGGCGCGAGCGGGGCGUGAGCGGCGGGCGGCCGGCGGCGGCGGGCGGAAGCGGCGGUGGGCCUGAGUGGUGAUGGGAGAGAGGAGAGAGAAUGAGGGUAGGAGGUGUAAAGUGCCCCAUAAACAACCAUAAGCAACACAAGAGUUGCUUAUUUGCUUAUGCAUAAGCAACUUAUAAGCAAGUCUAUAAGCAAGAGUGAUUGGUUCAUAAGCAACUUAUUUACUUAUUUUUAAGUUGCUUAUGCAUAAGCAACUCAAACCAAACAGGCCGUUACUUACCCACCUUCCAAUGUUGGAGAUUCGCGCUAAGGCUUUCGAACGACUGAGAGCGCUACGCAUGCAUUCGGGUCGGUCGGCAGCAUGGAACACACGCAUAGCAGAGUAGCGCACGUAGCAUGCUGGUGCCCUCCCAUAGUCCCAUGUAAUAACAUGUUGUUGGGUGGAAUGGUGGGUUUGCACAGACGUACUAUUUAAUUUUUUUUGAAGACUGUUUGGAUCACGACAUUUGUUAGAAUUAACGUAACAAAAUAAGUACCAAUAUAUGUAUCUUGGAAUUAAUGUAACAUUUGUUAGCAUCAUUCCUCGUUCAUUCAAAAACACAUGAUGAAUAGUAUGAUGAACUUCUUUUGAAGAAUCAUCAUCAACGCCCAUUGUGCGGCGCCUCUCUUCUGAGGUUCAUAGUGUUUAGAAUAACAUUGAGAAUAACACGACGUUCAAUAGAUUGACACUCCUGCUAAUCUAUGAACCCGACUGAUAAAUGCAAAUACAACAUGGGGCAAAUGUCCAAUGCAUACCAGAAAGAGACGGGCAAUGAGAAUAACAACUCACUUGUCAUAAAUGUGGUUACACUAUACAUAUUGAUGUAGUGUCGUAUGCCCAUGCACCUAAUCAUGUACUAUAAGUCCCUAAUGGAUACCAUAAUGGAUGCAAAGUUCUUAUCAGAGUCAAGACAUGAAACACCCUUUCAAAUCUUAUAUCUAACACAUUUGUUGGUUACUUGUGGCUCAUAUUGAACCACGGAACAACACUUCUCUUUCCCAAGAGGAUCCUACUUUGUUGGAUGACAUGCUCACUGAGUACUAUUCAAAUGAUCUACUUUGAGAUUUCGCAUAACCUCACUAUCACUAAUAUCCCAUUUAAUGAUGUUGUAAUAUGUUCAAACUCAUGCUAUUUGUGUUGAACAAACUUAUUAAUAACUUGAGUUCUACAAACUCAGUUGUGAUUAGGGGAGUACAAACUCAUGAGUUUUGAGUUAUACAAACCCGUAUGCAUGGGAAUGUCAUACCUUCAUAUUGGAUGUUCAAUAAUAUGUUUCUAUAUAAUCGAUAAGAAUUGCAUUAAAUUCUUAUCCUAUAUAGAAUUGUACGGGAAUCAUUCCAAUUGAGGAAGAAAUGUGCCUUGUGGCCAAUUGAACCACAACCUCUAUAACUAGGGAAAUAAAAUAUUCUCACAUUCCUUUGAAAAAAGGAGGGAAUAUUUUGACAAUAGCUCCAUGCUAUGAAACGAUAGUCCACAAAUGCGGGCAUUCUUCUUCCCCAGCCAACCUUCCAUUUGGAGCUUGCCUAAGAGGAGCUCGUGAAAAGCUCCAAAAAUACCAAUUCUAAGGAGGAAGAUUUUGUUCUUGAUUUCUUUGGAGGAGGUGGCUGUAUAAAAUGAGUUUGUGCCAUUCCAACCUUCUUUUUCAACUUUUAUCCAUCAUUUCUAGCUUCAUUAGGUUGUAAUCUAGAUUUAGGAGAGAGAGGAUGGAAGAGAGAGAAAAUAACUAAAAAUAGAUUAUUUUUGUAAAUAAAAUUCUAUGGUCAUAUUAUAACCAUUACAAUACUAUGUUUGUCAUUUUAAUGUAAUAUAGAAUUGAGUUUGAUUAUAUUUUUCCUAUUUAUUAAUUAUUACAUCCAUAGUUUUAAUUAAUGAAGUUGAUUGAAUUAAUAUAUAAUUGAGUUUGAAUUUUUCCCUUCUUAUUAUUAAUUAUUACAUCCAUGGUUUAAUUGAGUCUCAUUUAGGGUAAUAUAGAAUUGGUUUCUAUUAUAUUUCUUCCUACUUAUUAGUUACUGCAUCCGUAGUUUAAUUAAUAGAGUUGAUUGAAUUAAUGUAUAAUUGAGUUUGAUUUUUCCCCUUCUUCUUAUUAAUUAUUACAUCCAAGGUUUAAUUGAGUUUCAUUUAGGGUAAUAUAGUAUUGUUUUUUAGUAUAUUUCUUCCUACUUAUUAGUUACUACCUCCAUAAUUUAAUUUAGUUUAUAGAAUUGCGACCCAUACCUUAUUAAAUUAGUUAAUAUAACAUAAAAUUCUUGUCAUAGGUUGUUAAAGAUGGAUCAUAGAGCAUGGAUGUAUGGCAUACAGAGACAUUCGCAUACUUUCAUGGCAUAGGUAUCAAAGUUUGUGGAGGCUGCGAAGAAACACGCUUGCAUUUACAAGAUGCUAACUUCUUAGUGGUAAUACAUCCUAAUCUUCAUUUAUUGUAUACUUGCAGAUCCUAGGAUCGACACUCACGAUGCCAAGCUCGAAGACAAAUAAAUCGACAACAUUUGUAGGGACAUGGUGAGGUUCAUCCAACGCGAGAUUUGUCACGAGGAUGGAGCAUUCUUUGAUAAAGAUGGCGUGUUGAUGGCGGACGACUGCAAACAUCUUCGUAGAUGGGCGUAAUAGUUUUAAUAUUAGCGUGGCAAAGGAUAGCUCUAUUCCAAAUGUUGGAUUUUUAAUAAUGUGAAUUAUAUAUUAUGUACGAUGCAGUUUUGAAUAAUGUGAAUUAUUUAUUAUUCAAGUUUGUUGUUAUGUGGUUGGAGAUACAUAUUUCAAUUUGACGGCUAACAACUGGCGCAAAAUAGAAAUUAUAAAUAACUCACGGGAAAUAAUAUGUUGGAUGGAAAAAUACAUAUUCCUAGCGGGUGGCUAACGUCGCCUGCCAGCACAGACGGUAUUUGUGCUGGCUCAAGGUUGCUUGCGGGUGCUCAGUCCGCAAACGCCCCCCCUCCCCUUAAAGCUCAAACGUAGACGGUCAGUAUGUAACAGCAGUAUGAUGUAGUGGCCUAGCUUAUGAACUCUGUCUCUAGACUUGUAAACAUUGGCAUAACAGCGCCAGGCCUAUGCACGCAGUGCUACAUUAAUGUCAUAAAAGCUGAUUUUUAAGGCCCGUCUCAAUAUGCUGGUUUCAUGCAUAAUUAAUUACCUGCUAUGUAAGCAUAUUACUGAGAUGGCUUUGCAUUUACGAGGGGAACGAAGAGAAAGAUCUUGUUUCACCACAGUGAAACGAGUUGUACCCAGUUUCCAACACCUUGAAAUAGGACGACACCGCAUUGAGAGUCUCCGGUUUCAUCGUCGGUGGUGCUAGGACAAAUAUAUGCAGAGCUACAAGAAGCGAAUAGGAAGGAUAUUAAAUGGUGUCUUGACGUCAGUGGUGCUGUGACGACUGACCCAAAAUCUCCAAGUUAAUCUUAAUCUAAGUCCCCAGUCUCCCGUCUCAGCUUUACCGAGUUUAAGUACUCAACCUCCAGUCCGAUCCCGACCCCUGAGACCCGACCCCUCUCCGCUGGCCCCUAGUUCCGACCCCGCCGACCCCAACUCACCCGCCGGAUCCUUCUAAGUCUUCACAGCAGUCUCUCUCUCAAUCUGAGCAGUGGACCAUCCGAGACUGACCGGUGGACCCAUAAAAAUCUUUUCCCAGAUCUCUCGCGACAGACGCACUCGAGUGGCAUGCCCGCUUCAGAGUUUCCCCGCCGCGUGGCUCAACUUCUCCGACACCCGCCGCUCCGCCCCGUCGCCGGCCGCGACUGGAUGGUUUCUCGCGCCCCUUUCCCCAAUCGCAGCGGAAGCCCUCUGCAACUCUUUCUGAAGCGCCUCGCCGCUCGCGCCCAUCAUCACCUCGUCGGACCCCCAGCUGCAAGGCCUGAUGUCUCCCGGUUUUUCUGUCGCCCCUUCACAGUCGCGCCGCCCAGGUUCGCACUACGCGACGAUUCCUCCUCCGCCAAUCCAAACCCCGACCGCGACAGCUCCUUUCCUGCCUUGUCAGCGCUGCGCUCCGACGGAGUGUUGCUUCACGCUCGCCCGUGCAGCAGCGGCCCGCCUGACCUCUCACCUGAGCAACCUCGCUUCUAGCGCCGUUCCCCCGGUCACUUCCAUCAGAUCCACCGCCCGAUGACGCCCGCCUCCGCCAAAUCUCAACCACCGGCAAAACCGCGCCUGCUCCGCCCUAUCUUCGGUGCCCAAUGACCGCCGGUGUCAUCCCCGAAGUCCUGCUCCACCGCCCUAGUCGCUCAAUCGCCGCUCCGGCAGCGCACUCCAUCGUUCUUUCCGGUCUUCGCGCCGCUCCAACUCUUUCUCUCUGCUGCGCAGCUAUAAAAGGGAAUGCCGGAGUCCCGCCGGAGUUCCCCUUGCCCUAGCUGCCAUCUCUCUUGCUCCCUGUUCGAGUUCACAGCGCCACCACCUCGGUCUGAGGAACUCUCCUCUCUGCUCAAGCACCAUCUUUUCUCCAAUCCACUAGCCACUGCUUUCAGUGCUGCCCAAGAGUUGCUUGUGAUCCACAAGAAGCGCCACCAUCCCAAGCCCUUAAUUCUUCCGCCCCAGCCUCCUCUGUGAGACGAAGGUAGGCUGCCGACCCUUGUUCGUCUCGCCCGACCCCUCUUAUCCACCCGACUCUUGUUCGUCUCGCCCGACCCCUCUUAUCCACCCGACCCCGGUUCCGUCUCGCCCGACCCUGUCUGGUCCGCCGACCCUUCUCCGCCUCGCCCGAGGGCUCGGCUGUAUCUUUUUCUUUGAACCGAGGGUGUAUGUUAAAACUCGGGGACCUUUCAGCGUUGAGUCUGAGGACCCCUAGUACAUCAAACCCUCUAGAUUAAGGGUCAGAUCAUAAGUUCCUUCCCUCCGACCCUUACCUCUUGACCUCCAUCAACUCCAUUGAACCUCCCCACCCUCCUGUAACUUGCUGCAAGUUUCUGGGCUCAGGCUUGCAAGUGUUGCUGUUGAAAUAACCGUCUACGCUAACUAAUGCAUUGCAUUCGUGUAGAGCUGCGUCUCGCCGACGGCUACUACGAGCUGCACCCGGCGCCAGAAGACGACGGUGUAGCUGAGCUCCUGCCCCCAGAAGCCGAAGCUGCCCCAGAAGUCGAGCAGUUCCCUUCCUAUUUGCUCGAAGGCAAGCCCCGGAUGCAUGAAUCCCCCUGUGUUUUACCAAACUUACGCAUGCCUUCUUUAACAUGCUUGUGCAUUUACGUAUAGGAGUUGUUUGGAACCAUAGAUGCAUAACUUAGCUCCCUUGAUCUGAACACUAGCUGUUGGACCGAGUAGAUGCCUUGCUUAACUAGGAAACGGUAAAAGCUGAGUGAUUCCCUGUCACUCGCGAGUUGUAGGAGUUGUUUGUUUCCUCUUUUGUUGCAACUAUAAGGACGAUGGACGGGGCAAGGUGUUGGGUAACUUUUUGCUGGUCGGCUGAUCGCCCCGUCUGUCUAUGAAACUUGCUAAGGCCCGACAGUGGUGGUGUUCGUGAUCAAGUGUUUGAAAGUACUAAUCUCAUACCUAAUAUGGGAUGGGGAAGCCUAGUACCUGAUUGAACUAGGGCGUGGCUUAUACCCCUGCUGUCCCUGGAACGAGGUUCCCAUGGUGCAUCAUGUGGAUGCAAGUGUGGUCACAGUACGGUAGAGGCCGGGACUGUGGAGCAUUGCAUGCCAAGGGAAGUUUGGACCUGACACGCGCCUGGGAAUUUGUAACAGCUGCCAUUUUAGUUAUUAAAGUGACUUUGAUGGAUUGGAAGCAAUUCGAGAAGAAAAGAAAAAGAGAUUGGCCGAAAAUCAAAUUCGGGUCAAAUUUAGCCGAAAUUUGAAUUUUGAAUUUUAAAUUCAGAAAAAUUCGGCAAAAAUAUGGAAUACAAGUGUAAGAGUGACUAGAACUUAAGGGUCAAGAAUUUGAAGCAAGACUGGUCCAAAAUAUCUCAAAGGAAUUGAAGAAAGAAAAAGGAAAACUGAACUUACUGUUCACCGUCCGGAAAUAGGAACUCAGAAAAACAGCAGCAGAGUCUGUUUUCAAAAUUGAUUUCUGAUGAAUUUUUCAAAUAAGUGAAUCAGAACAACUACACCAUAUCAAAGUAUGGACAUUGGACUACUAGAAUUUGAUGUUGUUGGCCAGGAACAGUGAAGGGAGCGAAUUCAAAUUCAAGCUCAAAGUCAGCAUCUUGUCACUGUAAACGGCAUCACUGAAAAUAGUUAAGUCUGAAAAUGACAGUGGAUGGCCGACUUUGGAUUUGAUUUUUGAGAAAUGUAGAUCAAAAGGAGUAGUUGUUCUUGAGCAAAAUGGAAACCUUGGAGAUGCUAGAGCACGAAUAGGAAGAAGUUGGACUGGAAAAGGAGGAUUUGGAUCACCAAAUUUAUUCACAAAGUAAGGCAAAUGACACUGUCAGUUAACUGACGAAACUGAAUGGAAGGGUAAAAGGGUUCAGUCAUUUGCCCAAGAAAAAUUCAAAUUUGAAGACUUUUGGAUGUUUAUCUCGGGCAAAGGUUUAUAGAUGAAUUGGAAAACUCGAGAUUAUCUACAACUUCGGUUAAGACACAUGUGCACCGUCGGAUUGGAAAUCGACCGCAACUUAAGUCUGAAGUUCGGGCGUCAGAAGAAAAGGGGGGGAAUCGGUGACAGAGCCGAGCUCGACGUGUCGCCGCCGCCGCUCUCGGUCGCUCGCCAGCGCAACGGCUACGCCACCUCCUCACCACGCAAGCCUAUGGGUAGACCACGGUGACAACCAUGCGUGCGGUAAGUCGUUUGUAUAUUUACCGCUCCCGCGCCGCCGUUUCACCGCCGUCUUUUUUACCGCCGCCAGCGCCUCUGUCCAAGCCACCGCCGCCGAGCAAAAUCCUCCCACCAUACCGCAGCUCCCGUUGAUUCCUUCCGUCCACACCUCCGCCCACACCCCACCAGUAACCCUAGCAGCUUGUUGCCUAGCUUCUUCGCCGGCACGCCAUAAACCGCCGUCGCUUCUGUCCGCCGUCGCCGCGCCUCCCGCUCACGGUGAGCACCCCCUUGCGCUUGUUCUCUUCCUUCUUGAGUAGUCGUAGGCAGGUCCCUAGGAUGCCAGGAUGGUGUAAUAGUAGUUGUUCGAGUAGUUUGUGCCGUCCUCGUGAGUAGUCGCGACCGACCGAAGGUGUCGCCGCCCGCCGCCGUGGAGGGAGUGGCUCCGGCCAUCUCCCGAGGAGCUGUUGCCGCGCGCGGGUGCAUGAAGGUAUAGAGGUGCUGUCCUGACCUAGCUUCGCCGCCGGUAGGGCGCCGGCCGGCGAGUCGCGCCACCCCCUGUCGCACGCGCGCGUUUUGGCGGGAGGAGGAAGAAGCGCCUGGAGCUUGGGCCCGCGCGGCAGAGAGGAGGAGAAGAAGGCCGGGGGGGGGGGCAUAUGUUGGGCUGGCGCGUCGGAGGCCCAAAAAGCCGACGCGGACGACUGUGUAAAGAAAAGGGGCCGGAGGCCUGAAGGAAAAGCAGGCCGCGCUGCGGGAAAAGAGAAAAAGAAAAAGGGUCGUUGGGCCGGUAACGGACCGGGGAAAGGAAAAAGAAAAAGAAAACGGCCCAAGGGGGCCCGUCAGGAGGAGAAAGAGGCCGGCGGGUAGGAGGAAUAGGAGAGGGAGUGGGUCCGUGCCACGGGCCCAGUGCAAGUGAGAGGGGGUAGAGUAGGGCCGCGUGAGAAAAGUUGCCCGGGGGUGUUUUUCGGGAAAAAUUAGAUUUCCUUUAUAGAAUAAUUAGUUCAAAUCCGAAUUUCACCAUUUAAAUCACAGAAAUUUCUAGGAAUGUCCAAAAUUAGUGAAACCAAUUUUGUUAGGCUUGUUUUAUUUUCCUUUAUGCAUUAAAAUUUUUACACCCUAGAAAAAUAAUAAAAAAAUUUGGGUAUUUAUUUAAUGCCUUUCUUUUAAGGUAAUUAAAUAAAUACUUAAUCCUUAUAAAAUGUAUAAAAUAUGGGAUAACAUUUUCUUAAUCACAAAUUAUUCUUAACUCAUAGGAAAUUAGGUUUUCAAGUUAGAAAAUAAUUAUAACCUUUUCCCAAAAAUAAAAUAAAAGCCUUAAGUAAGGUUAGGUAAGAAAAUAAAAUUGUGGGCUAAUCCUUGGGGUUUUGUGUGUUGGCUUGCAACUUUAUCAUGAUAAAUUGCAUAGUCCUUGUUGGCUUGCAACUUUAUCAUGUCCGUUGUAUAGUCUUUUAUUCAAAAUUUUGCAUUCCUAACCCCUGCAUGUGUUGUGCUAUAGACCCCGAAGCACCAGAAGGAGAUUACUUGGAAUUUUCAGAAGGAUCUUCGGAAUUCGAAGAAGUCUUUGAAUUGGUCCCCUGUGAAGCCAACCCUUCGGACGGUACUAACUUUUUAAGCGAACAAGGCAAGCCCCGGUGCAUUUAUACCUAUCUAUUUUGGAGUUAUUAUUUUAUGUGUCCAAUUAUCAGUUAUUUGCUAUAUGUAUGCACUAAGUCUAGGAGUUGCUUGAAACCUAUUCUUGUGUAUGAUCAUGCCUUGUUUUAAGGACAUCUUUGCCACUUGUUCAAACCUUUAGUAGAUAACCCAAGUCUAGAAUUGCUUAGUUGCUUACAUACUUGGUUUACCAACCUUAAGGAAAACUUUGGAGUCAUACAUGUUACUUAUGGAAAAAUAACUUGGAAAUUGAGAAGCGGACAGAAGCUAGAGAUGUAGUUCUGUCUGCUAGAUUAAAUUGGUUAAGGCCCGAUUCGUUGUCUUAACCUUUGAUCAAGUGAUAAGCAUCUGAUCACUUACUGGGUAUGGGACCAGUAAAGCCCAGUAAGUUAGUAAACUCUUUGAUCGGGAAUACUUCGUACCCGCGCUUGACGUGCUGGAGAUUGGCAGGGGCGUAGCCUGAAACUCACAUGGUGAUCGGGCCAGACGUGGGGUCCCAUGUGAGGGUGCGUCCCUGGGUCCGGGUAGUCUUAUUCCCAAUCAUUGAUUUUGCUAAUCGAAAGGUUGUUAUGUACGACCUGGACAGUCGUAUAAAGCUGGUGAUCAGGGUACUCUCCUGCAGGAUGCAAAUGGAUCCAGAUCGUCGCAAUUCUCGGUUAUGAAUGCACUUGAUCACUGUUGAGCAUCGUAGUAUAAAUUCAUGAACAAUAUAUCCUUCUGAUAAUGUUUGAUGUAUGACUUAAUAUCUAUGGUUGCUUUUACUUUCUGCUCACCGUUUAGAAUGGUUAGGCAAUAACUUAACCCAAAUAAAAGAUAAAACUAAGGUAUCACUUGUAGUAAGCUUUUUCAGCAAAAGUUGUAUCAGCCAAGUACACCAAAAGCUAUCAUAUGCAUCCCAAGAAAGCUAUUAUAUUGGUUAGUCGGGUAAGACUUGCUGAGUACCCCGUACUCAGGGUUAUCCCUUGUGGCUAUCUUUCAGAAGCUCCGCAGGAGUCUACUGAGGAGGAAGCCCCGAAGUCCUAGGGUAUUGUUAUGAGUCUCACAAUAUCCUUAAGAAGAAGAAGUUUUUAAACGCUCAUCUCCUCCUGAACCGUUUAUGUUUUAAAGUCUUAGAACCCCAUCUAACACUGCACUAUUAAGUUUGCUUCAAACUAAGUCUUGUAAUAACUCGUACCUUUUAUAUGUAUGUAAAAAUGUAAUAUUUGUUGAUGCUAUCCCAUCGCGGAUUCUAUCCUGAUGUAUGGCUAUGAGACACGAUGUGGAUCUUUCGAGGAGUCCUAGGGACACUCGACGGACGACCGGAAUUAUACUGUUUUAAGUGCGUUUCGGAUAAUUGCUGCGUCGGCAGCAAUUACGCGCAUUUAAACCAGUUUAAGUUGGACGGUUCCGCCACAGAAUUGAUGGGGACGGCCGACACAGGAAGCGGCCCUUGUGGUGCGCGGAUGUCGUGAGAUUAGGUUCGCCAUGCAUGGUUAAGAAACUCGAAUCGAUUCGUCUGCCUCUCACAGUUUGAGAUUGCUUGAUCGCUAUGUCAUCCUGAGUAAGAAAGAAAUCUGAUGAUGACAUGGUUUUGCUGAUGUUGUAUAUAUACCUUUGAUUGGUUCUAUGAUUGCUUAGAAUAGGUUGCAAACUUAGAACGGAUAAUGAACUUAGAACCGGAGCUAAAACUUGAAAGUAGGAUUACAUCUAGUGCUUUUGGCAAACGAACCCCUCAGCCAAAAAGCCUUGCAUGUCUAGAAGAGGUAGUUUAGCGCGCUCCCUGUCGGUUAAGUCUUGUUGAGCUUAGUAGCUCAGCCUUGUUGUGGCUCUUCUUUUUCAGGUGAAGUUGCUGCUUCUGAGCCCCUUUCUGCUGGCACUUGGCCGCCCCAACUCCCUCGGGGUUGGACGGUCGAGUGGGAUCCCGCCUCGGACGGCGAGGAGCGGGAUCAUUGACGUCCCGGUUGGCCUCACCAGGGAUGUCCGACCCCGACGAAGUAGCUUCCGCUUGUGGUUUUAUCUUCUGUGGUUUUCUUUCAAACCUUGUAAACUCUGAUGAUGGUUUAUAACCAAACUAGAUGGUUAAUUUGCUUAACUUAGUGGACUUGCUGUAUUCUUUGGAACCGCUCACCUUCGUGUGGGUUUGCUAUUCGGUCCUGUUAAAGUGGUUAAAUCGGAUGAAAUCCGACGGCACUUCGCGUUUACUUGGCUAAAGCAUGAGUGUCGCAUAUUAGGCGGCAAAAUCAUGUUUAACCAAGCUAAUCCGAAGUGGAUCCGCCACAGGUGCAUUUUGAAGCGCGACCAGCACAUCUAUAUAACUAAGGAGAGAACUUGAGAAAGUUGUGCUAGCUUGCAUCACACUUCACAGUAUGAUAGUGAAAGAUGAAAAGGAAGAAGACAUGAAGAAAAUCUUGAUUUGAACGAGCCUCCAAGUACAUCUCUUGUUGAAGCUACAUUUAAAAGAGUGCUAGACAAGAAUGAAGAUAUUGAAGAUCUGUCAGCUCAUUUCCAGCUUAAGAAAAAGUAUGGACAGCGAUAAACACUAAUAGCUCAAGUAUGAGAUAUGCUUUUUUUAACUAUAUAUUAUAUAUGCCGUCUAAUAUUAUGUGUUGUAUAGAAAUUGAAGUGAAUUAAACUAUCUAUGUGUCGCCUUUUUUUAUUUGCUCAUGCCAUAUUUAUACAUGCUCGUUUACUCUAUGCCGUACGAAUAUUGAAAUGAAUUAAAGUAUCUUCAAUUCAAAGAGAUGUCACAUUCCUUCAUGCAUUUCCUACAUCUAGUAUUUGAAAACAAUAGCAAAAUGCUACAUAGUUCAUAUAGAGCAAUAGAUCACAACAUAAUCCAGUAAUUUAAUGGUAUAGCUAGCUUUGGAAACAACGGAAUCAAACCAUGCAUUGUUUACCGUUUCAUCCCACGCGGGGUGAUGUGGCGGUCUUGAAAACUGUGAAAUUGAAACUCGGUAUUGAGAAAUACUUGUUGAGAAUGAGUGAAGAAUGCACCAUAAAUUAUUAUUAGAGAAACAUUAAGGGGUGUUAGAUUAAAAUCAUUGACAUGUCGGAGCACAUUAGAUCAACGUGCUAGGGUGAUUAUUCUCGAUGAUGAUCGAUGGGUAGUCUUUUUUUAUUUUGAAAGGAACAGGUACUUCCCCUAAAAUUAGAUGCGCAGGCUUCCAUGGGAGAAAACAACCUAAUAAGUGCUGGAGUGGUGUGCAUCAAAUGGAAGCGGGUCGCUUCAAUUAUGUAGAACAGCUUGUUUAGUUAGCUGGCAGGAUAUUCAACGUUUGGUUGAGGGAGCACACGAGUGAAGCAUGUGUGUUUACUUUAACUAGGCGAAGCUCCACGGACUCCCGGAGCAAGGAAUAUGCAAGGCUAGAUUUUAUUCUUUAUCUUUGGUUACCCUGCAAAUUUCUUAUGGGUAUGUUUUUUCCUUCUGUUUUCUAUUUUUGUCUUUUUUUUUACUGAACCGGCGGUGAUAAUAACUAUCGCUGCUGGUUUAAAACAUGAACAGACGAUCAUAGUCAUUUGAAAUUGUUUCGAUACCCAAAUAUUUGAUAUAAGUUCUCACACUUAUCAAACCAUCUCAAAUGGAAAUAGUAUGCGUUGCACCCUUUGGAUGGCUGAUGGAUGUGUUGGGGUGCUCGAGUAAAAAAGAUUUUUUUUGCUUCCGGUUAUCAAUUUUGUGUAUUUCUUUUAAAAAAUAAAUGGAGGUGAUAAUGACUGUCACUGCUGGUUUGAAACAUGAAGAGACGGUGAUAGUCAUUCUCACCGUUGGUCCAAAACCGGUUGUAAUGUACUAUAUAUAUUAUCACCGUCGAUCUUUCACCAACGAUACCUAAAACCGACAGUGACGAGGAUUUAGGACCAGCGGUGAUAGAUUCCGCUGCAGUAGUGGCUGUUCAGCUCUUCCUCGAUCGGCAGAAAAAAAAUAAGAUCGACGUGCCGGGAUGGUUUACAUCAAAUCGAAGCGAAUCUCCUUAUAAAACCUUGUUUAAUUAGCUUAUCCGCAACAUGAUCCUGGAUGUAUAUUCAACGCAUAUAAAUAGUACUAAUGAAUUAAACAAAGGGAGCACGGGUGAAGCCUGUGUUGUUACUUUAAUCAAGCAAAUCAUAAGCUCUACAAACUCCCGAGGCAACCAACGCCUAUAAAAAGGCUUGCAGCAGGCAUCCCAUCGCCGCACCCCAACAUUCCAUUCAUUCAUUUCACACCCCAAGAUACCAAGAUAUCCAAGGAAACAUGGCACCCUGCAGAUUCUGCAAGCAUCAGGGCGUGGCCGUAGGGGGUCUUGCCCUGCUGGCGGCGCUGGUCGUCGUUGGCCUUGCACUGCCAGGCGCCGCCGCCGCCCAGCAGCAAGGCCAGGACCGUGACAAGGACGUCGUGAUCCCUGCCAGCGUCCAGGAUGCCUGUUUCCGAGUAGCGCACGGGAGGGGUCUGCUUUUCUGUGCAGAGAAAGAUACUCAAGGUUGCUGCGAGCUGCUGAGGCUCUUCGCCGGGGUUGCAGACGACUGCGCCUGUAGCCUUCUCAAGGUGAUCGAGGGUAGGGGCAUUGACCUCAAUAAUGUCAUCAAAACUACUCGUAUUGAAAAAGCUUGUCAAGAUAAGGCGAAGGAUAGCAACCUGGACCCCUUAGAGAGGCUCCAGAGGCUCUUCAAGCGCUUCACCGACGACAUGGCGGAGAAGUGGAUCGAGGUCUUUAAUUGCGAGCCCCACUGCCGCUCACAGAAGCAGUGACCACGGUGCUUGAGGCGCACAUCAUUAUGGGCGCCGUGCGCCGCUGCUCUCCUCGAUAGAUGCUUCGGAUGUUACAAAUUUCCAUUCAUUUCCGCCGUGCGCCUACGGAUUUGGUUCUAUUCAUUUCAUUCCCAACACUAUUUCCAUUGAUUUCCCCAUCUUUUUCCAUUUCAAAACAUCAGCCCAGCCCGGUGUGUGAGUUUCUUCGACAAAUGCUUCGUUUCCUUUAAUUUUCUAUAUUUACUGUAAUGAUUUCUCCCCUGUUUGUUUCUGCAAGUAAUACUUAUGUUUCGCGUGCACGCAUGCUUGUGCUAUUAUUGGAGAGCUUGUAUGUAAUUCUGUAAUGAUUUCACCACUGUUUGUUUCUGCAAGUAUGAAUAAGGCUGCCACCUUUAACUUACUUAGUUCCUGUUUAUCAUUUGUCUAUGUCCUUUGCUAGCAUUCCGCUGUUUCUACGAUCUUUUUAUUUCUCUCAACAUUUACAAGCUCAGUUUACAGAUUACAUUAUAGUCUCAACAUGUACAACCAUCCAUUCACUGCUCUCGUUGUCUCGCUGCCGCUCUUUUAACACGUUAUCAGCGCGCUCUUCCCUGAGCGCACCAAAGAAAGGGUUCGAUACCGACGUGCGACAUCUCAUAGCGUCGGCGUCCUCUCACACACCGGUGUUCCAAAAGCAGAGGCCACAGUGAUUUUCUACCCUCGCGUCAUGAGGAUUCUUUAGCGACAAGGCUGAUUCCGGCCACGCGGCGUCGAUCUCGCCAGCGGUACGAUGCGUGUCUGUACACUCGGGCCUGCAGGCGAUCUACGCAACCGUCAGCAGCGGCUCACGGACACGGCACACGUACGCUGCGAAGAUGGCCUGAGUCGCCGCAGCGGUUUCUCUGGUGAUGGAACCAAGAGGAACAGAUGCUCGGCAACAAAGAAGUUCGAAAGAUAAGAUGCUAAUCUGCUUCAACAAACGGAUUUACCAACAAUCCAAGAAGCCCUCUGUACCCUAUCAGCUGGUAUGAUCGACGAUGCAUCUUACUUUAUUCUUUCAUCCGGUUUUCAUUGGAAUUCAAGCACGUCCGCGUGCUCCAUCGCCUGGUCCAUGACGCGCUAGCUGUGUAGCGCUCCUGCAACAUGCAUGGUUUCUCCGAGUGCCCACUCCUUCUUGGCAUGGCUGCGCAAGGCCCGUGGCAUGAAGUCAAUUGCGGCAUGAUGAUCCGCUCGACGUCUCCUGGUUGGCUGGUUGCCUCCGCGCGAGACCACCAUGCUCGACAUCCAUUGCGUCUGCGGCGCUUGGACCUCCAUGUGUGUGCGCACCUUGGCCAGGGCCACCAUUGCACCACGCCUGCUACGGGCUACCUUAGGCCUCCGAUGCGCCUUCAACGGCGGCACCCAGCGGCAGGUGCAUGCAGCACACCAGCAGCGGGCCUGCGGCGAGACGACUGUACACUGGCGUCGAUCCUCCAAAAGGACUCAAUCGCCUGCGCGCAUCCCUGUACGCGGCUGCUUGCUUGCCCGUCCGUGACCCACCGAUUGCAGUGGCCCCAUCCACCAUGAUGGCGCCCGUCAGAGUUUCGACGUAGGCGGCGGCGGCUUUUCGCCGUGGCUAGCUGAAGCGGCACGGUGGCGACCGGCGAGUCCGUUUUAAUUUGGACGAAACUCUAACCGACCGCGUCCUGGGCUGAAUUGGCAUUCCGGACUCAGAUUCCAACGUCCGGAUGCGGGCCGAAACUGAUUCUUUUCGGCCUCAUAGCAAUUACCUAUUUUCAUUUAUUUUCUCCAGCUACUUAUUUUACUGCUGAAAUUUAAAUGAAUUUUCUGAGUUCCUAUACUUUGGUAUUUUGUUAUUUUGCUGAGAACCCUGUAGGAUCUUGCAUUUGCCAGUUUUGUAUGGUGAAGUGCUACUCCUUCAGAGUAUUAACUCGCGUAUUACAUUUAUCGACUUUGUUAAUUUGUUAAUUUACUUUAUAAAUUGCUUAAUUAUGAUGAAUUCAUUGCAAAAUAUACUACAUGUCUUCAAUAUGGGAUUGAAAAACACGUGAUGGAGAUCUAGGCAUUGGCUACAAUAAGUUCUUCAUAGUAAUUUAUUUGCCCUAAGACCAAGCUUUUAGACAGCAAAUUAUUUGACCAUCACUAAGAGGUCUACAUCUUAUGAUGAUUACCUACCUACAUGUGUUCUCCCAAGUAAAUGUUCUUGGAGAGUUAAUUCUGGUCUAAACCUUUUAUGGUGAUUACCAUUUUAUUUUUUGAAAUUUGGUCAAGCAUAGGGUAGUGGAGACCUAAGCAUCGGCUGCGGUAUGUUCUUUUAGAAUGUAUCAGCCCAGAGACCAUACAUUUAGACAGCAAGAUUCUUGCCCACUAUUGGGAGAUCUACCCCAUGGUUUCAUUACAUGGAGAUUAUCUACGUUGUGUCCAGCAAUUUUCAAAAAUAACUCAAUUAUGAGGUACACCUUCCGUGAUACCUUCUCCAACAUAAGAAGAUAUGAUGUUUAAUAUUUUGCAUCAAUGUUGCAACGUCACCAAUGUGGUUCUAAUUUACCUACUGUAAAUUAACUAAAACUAAUAGUUAUGCCAUGCUAUGGAUAAUUACUUUAAUAGAGUUCGAUGGACUCAACCCAAUGGGCUUGAUUAUCCUACAUGUGCAUUAGAUAUCAAGAUCAAUUUUACAUUCCAUGGAAUAAUAAAGGUGAUUAGUGAACCCCAAAAUGGGGAUCCACCUCUUCACAUCUAGAAGAAGUGUGAUGCUCUCUUUCUAUUAAGGUUCGACAUCCAUUAGAAUGUCACACAUGAGUACCUAUUGGAAAAGAACCUACGUCCUUUGCGACCUGCUCUACAAGUGCACAAUGAAUAUCAAAGGAACUCAUAAGACCUACUACCUUAUGAGUAGACCAUGUAAGUCUAUAAUAUUUUUAAAAUAUUACAGACUACAAUCUUGCCAUUCAUAACAUUUGCUCGACGUUGAAAUUUUUGCAAACUACCAGCAUCAUUCUUCAUUCAUUCAAAAACACAUGAUGAAUAGUAUGAUGAACUUCUUUGAAGAAUCCUCAUCAACGCCCAUUGUGCGACGCCUCUCUCCUGAGGUUCAUAGUGUUUAGAAUAACAUUGAGAAUAACACGAGGUUCAAUGGAUUGACACUCCUACUAUCUAUGAACCCAGCUGAUAAAUGCAAAUACAACAUGGGGCAAAUGUCCAAUGCUACCAGAAAGAGAUGGGCAAUGAGAAUGACAACUCACUUGUCAUAAAUGCUGUUACACUAUACAUAUUGAUGUAGUGUCGUAUGCCCAUGCACGUAAUCAUGUACUAUAAGUCCCUAAUGGAUUCCCUAAUGGAUGCAAAGUUCUUAUCAGAGUCAAGUCAUGAAGCACCCUUUCAAAUCUUAUAUCUAACAUAUUUGUUGGUUACUUGUGGCUCAUAUUGAACCACUAAACAACACUUCUCUUUCCCAAGAGGAUCCUGCUUUGUUGGAUGACAUGCUCACUAAGUACUAUUCAAAUGAUCUACUUUGAGAUUUUGCAUAAUCUCACUAUCAUUGAUAUUCCAUUUAAUGAUGUUGUAAUAUGUUCAAACUCAUCAUACUAUUUGAGUUGAACAAACUUAUUAAUAACUUGAGUUCUACAAACUCGAUUGUGAUUAUGGGAGUACGAACUCAUGAGUUUUGAGUUAUACAAACCCAUAUGUAUUGGAAUGUCAUACCUUCGUAUUGGAUAUUCAAUACUAUGUUUCUAUAUAAUCAAUAAGAAUUGCAUUAAAUUCUUGUCCUAUAUAGAAUUGUACGGGAAUCAUUCCAAUUGAGGAAGAAAUAUGCCUUGUGGCCAAUUGAACCACAACCUCUAUAACUAGGGACAUAAAAUAUUCUCAAAUUCCUUUGAAAAGAGGAGAGAAUAUUUUUACAAUCACUCCAUGCAAUGCAAUGAUAAUCCAUUAUCAUGCUCACUAUGGUACUAAAGUCAUCUAGGAUGUUUUACUAUAUCUUGAUUUGACUCGCAUCUUACCAUAUUAUAGAGAUAUCCACAAAAGUUUCUAUCAUGUGGAGACACAAGAUGAUGAUGAUGGAUAUGGCAUAUGCCUUUCUGAGAAACAUUUCUCUUGGAUUGGAUUCUACAAACAUCUUCCCGUACAACAUGUUACAUUUGAUAUAAUUUUUCAUGUCUUGGAUGCAUACCACACCUGGUAUGAUUGGUUUGGUUAUUCCAUCAUUACUGAGAUGAAGUGAAAAUUAUAGGUAAUCCUAUUGGUCAUGAUUUUCCUAUAGCAUGGAUACUCUACAAGUACCACUGGGAACUAGAUUUUAAGUCCCUCUUAUCUUAAAAUUCUUGAACUCCUUCAACAGAACAAGUGUGGUCCAAUACAAAGAUUGUAUGGGCAUCUAAGGCAUUACAUGGUUCUAUGGUGCAUCUAUAUGAUGACUUCUAGUGUGUCCUAUUGACAACACAAAAUCAUGCACUAAUAAUGGCUCAAUUUUUGGGCACAUUAGCCUACACACUACUAAAUUUACCAUUUGUGCUUACAAUGAUGAUUGUAUUACCUAGGUAUUCAGAAUUAUAUCCACAACGGAUAUGAUGAAUCUAUGAUUUAGACAAUUAAGAUCAUCACAUGACCGUCACUAGUGAGUUGCCAUUUCCAAUCUUUUGUUGUAGUCAGGUAGUUUUACACUCUCCUGACUUUAUCAGUUCCUUAUACUUUUAGUACGUGGGAAUCCAUGAAGUAUUUUCCAUUUGCGUACAUUGGGUGUGUUUUUCUUCUAAAACAUCCCAAUCUCACCACCACAACGUACAUCUAUGAGCACACAGGAAACUGGGGAUCUAUGUGAGAUUUUACUCUCCGUCGAUCAUUUAGAAUCUCUUUGUAAGGAUCUAUUUAUGCCCCAUACACUGGCUAUAUUUUAAUCAUGAGCAUUUUCAGACAUGGGGUACCAUAAAUAAUGUUAGGAAAUUUAUUGGAAUACAUUAAGCAUUUCAGGCUUAAGAUCUUGUACUAAAGCUGAACCCUUCCAGUUCAAUGGUUUGCAACAAAUUGCAAAUCAACUGCCAUAUGCAUUUACUAUAAGGUGUCAUAAAAUCUUACUGGUCCUAUGUAGUGCCAAAAAGAGUGGUAGUACCAUGUAAAACCACUCAACUCACUGUUACAACCACCGUUGUAAAUAAGAGGGGGAGAAGUAUGGUCAAAAAUUGGGAUUAAGCUACUUACAAGCAACUGAAGGCUAGACCUUCUAAGAUAGUAAAUGCAAACCAACCUUUUGUUGACAACCAACCUACUGUUGGCAGACACCUAAAGGAUUCUGAUUAUCAUGUGAAUGAAAGACAUUCACGACCUAGCUCAGUGGUGCACAAUACUGAGGCUAGGAUAUUGAAAGCCCCUAAUUCUCGUUUUGGGAAGUCAUGAUGAAUUAUAAUGGUGCAUAAGGUAUAGACAUCAUGUCAACUAGAGAAUUAUGUUAUUUAAAAUCUACAUGUGUCUACAUUUACUUCUCAGCAAAUUGUAUAUACACUCCAAGCGAUCCAAUAGACCAUGGCCAUGGCAGAGCACCUCCGUGCUCAAACUGGAUCUUGUAGAGUGAUGCAAUGAAGCAGAGAUAGCCUCGCUCACAUGAAAGAAGUGUUUGGACUAUUUCCAACGCUUCAUGGAAUCUUUACUGUGGAUACAAAUUUGUUUUCAUCCAGAAAUGGAUUUGGGAACAAUAUGGUGGUGAGAAGCAAGGCUAGUAGCAACAAGGGUUUUACGCAAAGCCCAAGCAUUGUUUUCAAUGCUAUUUAUUCUCCUAUACAAAUUAUAAAUUUCCGAUAUUAUACUUAUGGGAAGUAAAAUCAUCUAUCUAUGCAGUUGAUAGAUGUAGUGACAACAUACACCUAUGUAGUCACUGGAUUCUGGUGUAUUUGAUAGAGUCCUGAAGAAAUUCAAAUACCUAAUUCUCAAACACAACUUGCAACAUAUAUUGUGUAAUGCUUAGAAAGUCACUUCAUGGCUCCUUUUGAGAUUUUCAAUUCAAAAUCUCUUCUCUCAAGAAUCUUGGAUACGAAGUUGUCUAUAUCCAAAAUAUAUUGAAGAAAUUUAAUAUAAAAGAAUCAUAUCCAUAUUGCUUAUGGUUGUUUGAUUCUCUUAUACCAUGAGAUGUGCUAAUGUAUAUUGCAAUAGCAUCCGACCAAAUAUUGUUUUUGCAAUGAUUUGCGAACUAAUAGCACAUGAGAUCAUGUUAUGUUCUUUAAUGGAACUCAUGAUCUGGUUAUGAUUGGAUAUAUUGAUCUUGGUUGUCUAUAUAAGAUCCCCAGAGCACCAGAUCACUGACAUGCUUCAUGUAUUUGUAAGUUGGACCUGGCAUUUCAUGAAUGUCUAUCAACAGACAUUAGUGGUCACUUACACCAAUCAUUCUAUAGCAACACUACAUGUGGCUUUGCAGAAUGAUAAACCACAUACUAAGGCUAUGUGGUGGUUGUGGUUCUACUAAUCACCAACCAUAUUAUCUAUAAAGAUACUAUCACUUUGUGUUGUUCAUAUGGAUACAAGUUAUGUGAGGCUCAAUAUUACUAUGCAUUUAGCCCCAAGAAAUGUGUUAUCCUUAUCAUUAGGAAAUAAACAUUUUGAAAACUAAGUAUUGUGAUAAUCAUACAGAUUAUUUACAUAGUCUCUACCUUACUCCACAUUUUCAAAUGUGUUUAAGAGAUUGGUAUGCGAUGACUUAGUGAUUUGCAAGUAUCAGGGGGACAUAUAUGAAGUGUUAGAUGUUGGAAAUAAGCAAACUCAAGCGUGACAUAAAUGUGCUGAGGUGUACAUUAGCCUGCGGAAAUGUACCCCUCAUCCUCUUUGUCAUCCUCCUCAAAUAUGACAUUCUCAUCGCCAUCUGUUGCAACAAUGGUACACAAAUGAUGAGACCAACUUAUUUACAUUGGCAGAAUAAUAUUCUGAAGAAAGCAUGGGCAACAUUUACCGUCCUUUGCCAUAGAGGCAUGUGUCUGUGCUUGACCAACGUGUGGAGGCAUAUGGUUGUGUUUGAGUACGUGUGUCGUUGUUAGGUGCAAUCCAAAUGUCUGUGUUGGGCUGGGAGCUCCCAGCCCCCAUUUGGGUGCCACCUUUAGUAGUAAGAAACAACAAGAGUAUGAAUGUAGAUGGCAUAUUUGUUCAGCAAAGUAUAUUUUUAAAAAGAUGGCCAAGGGAUGUGCACUAAUUCCAUUGUCAAUGACAGAAGACUGGAUUGGCCGAGUAGUAUCAUCGUCAUUUUCUUCUGCAGGCCCAUUGUAUUUUCGUCCAAUUGUUGCUUCAAACAUUUGAUUACGUUGGGUUAGGCGUGAAUUCCUCAUUCCAAGUGUCACUGGCCUCCGAUGUAUGGUGUGGGAUGUAGGGACCUGAGGGGUCUCAACCAUAUAGGAUUGCUCUACAGCCGAACGGAUGUAAAUAGGUGUGUCGUUUACCUCCGAGAUCUCCAACUCGUGUCCUGGUCUUAGCGGCAUUUUAUCAGCAAUAGGGAAUACAAUCUCCAAGGUAAAGUGAGGGCUUGCCAUAGCGAUAGAGUUGGGGUGCAAAUUGCUCGCCCAUUGUUCCUUAACCCUCUUUUUAUAGUCUCUCUUGGUCUAUCUUCUUUUCUCUAUAUUGUGUUGUGGCAUCAUCAAUAAUUUCUUUGCAGCUCUCAAAUCACGCCGCCUCUUAUUUAUUAUAGCCCUCUACCCAGGAGACAUUGAUGCCCUAUGUGCCUUAUCCCUCUGACGCCUACGCUCGUUAGGAGAGAGGGGUUCUAAUCCAGCACUAAAAAAUAAAUUGUAUUGAUGUUUGGUUAAUGUGUUUGGUGUAAGAUGGCAACAAUUGAGAAUAACAAGAUCUCUAUUUUAUUUAUGGAGAAUAAAUAAUGUCCAUGUUUAUAUUUAGCAAUGUGUCACAACGUUUAUAUGAAACAUUAAAGAUAGUGGUAAUUAACAACCCAAUAUAGUGGCAAUAUUUAGCAAUGUGUCGGAACAUCUUUAAAUGUCGCCAACAUACACAUAAUUAAUUAAUGCGAUGUUUUCAUAAAAAUAUCUAUUAAAUAUUACAAAACAACGGUACAAAUAUACCUAUAAAGGAAGCAGUCAUAAUAAAAAAGCAAAUUAGCCAGCACGGGAUUACCUGCUUCACCCACAGGGCUGGUACAACUUUAAACGCAAAUGUCCCAUGUCACCAAGAGUAACAUCAUCAUUGCGUAAUGCAGUGUUUCUAUCUAAAAAAGUUUCAGAGUUGUAAAUUCCUGAAAUCAGAGAUAUAAAUCUCCUUCACCCAGAGGGAUGAUACAACUCUGAUCGCAUAAAUGUUCCAUCUCACCAAGAGUAGCCUCAUCAUUGAUUAAACCAGCACCUCCAUCUUUAAAAGAUCAUAAAAAUAAAGCACCUUCUAAAACAUUUAUGUUUUUCCGAAACAACAAAAGUGUGUAGGCGCACCUAAUUCACCUAUUCCCACAUGAAGUCUGUCUUUAUUUUCUCCCAAAUCUCCCCUAUGGAGCCAGCCAUCAUUUUCAUCUGCCUCCAUGUGUAUACUGUCAUCUACAUAAACUCCUGAGUGUCAAUAUUUUGUCAUGAAAAAAUAAGGAUGCAGAAGUGGAGUGAAAUGAAGGACACAAUUGUACCUUGGUGAUGGUUUGGAAUGUGCUGAAUGGCACCUUGUUUCCCUUUUCUCCUCAUACGCCUCUCACGGCGUGUUUUGUUAUAUUCACUCCUCUUCUCAUCAGACUUGUUGCAACCAGGAAUCUCUUAUGCUCUCUAUCACGUUCCUUAGGUAUCACGUUCCUUAGGGUAUACAUGAUGUGGGGUUUGCGUACCUUCAUCAUAUUGGAAUGACAUAAUGAGUGACCAUAGUACAUCACUAACCAAAUAUCCAACUGUAUCCUCACCUUUGAUUGUCUCUCUAUCACGUUCCUUAGGGUCUACAUGAUGUGGGGUUUGUGUACCUUCAUCAUAUUGGAAUGACAUAAUGAGUGAUCAUAGUACAUCACCAACCAAAUGUCCAACUGUAUCCUCACCUUGGAUUGUUGUGUUUGUGAGUUCUGUAAAAGGUACCCUAGGCCGCCUUGACCCGGAUGGUUCCAUCAAAGCGAUAGUCCCUGCACAAGCCAAAGGAUAGGCAAAACCGGAGAAGAUUUGGCUUCCUCGAAGGAGGGUUGUAGGACUGUUUCCAUCGACUACAUGGGCAUCAAUUUAACAGUUUCCUCACCCUUUAACAGUACAGUCAGGUUCAACAGGUUGAAUCAAAUCUCUGUAAAAAAAAACAAAGUCAGCUUGAGGUACAACUUCAAAGAGACACACACGCUAAUAAUGCUGGGCAAUAUGUAAGCUGGGAAGGAGUCCCAGUCAAUUUGGAAGAUCAAACUGUCAAAACUAUGCCAUAUUGACCAAAACAAAAACAAGAAACUGGAAAAUAGAGGUUCAGGCUUAUGAGGAGUGGCAGUCAAAGAACAGUAAGACAUUGCAAUUGCAUUAAACUCAAAUAACAGUAAAUCACUUGAUGAAUGAUCAUUUUUUACAUCUACACAGUGAACAUGAUCGGAAAUUUUACCUCACACAAUGCAUUUUCAUCAAAGAACAGUAAGACAUUGCACUUGCAUUAAACUCAAAUAACAGUAAAUAACUUGAUGCAUGAUCAGUUUUUAUACAAAUGAAACACAAUACAUUUUUCAUCAUAUACCAAUAUUGUUCUCCAUCUGGCAAAUACAGCCUGGAUAAUCAUUAAUCCGGAAAGAUUCAUUUCAAAGAAAAGCAAGGAAAACCAAAGGUAUUCAAUAUGUGAACUGGAUCUAAUUACUACAUGUUACCUUUCGCAAAACACUGCUUGCUGGAGCAGUAGGCUCAACCCGACGAACAAGAACACCCUUCAAGAGAAAAGCAAAAUGGAAUGUCAUGGGAAAGCACUGGAUUAAGCUUAGAGCUCAGAGCUGUGCUCAAGGCUACUAAUAAGGACCAAAAUAGCAGUAUCCAGAAGACACUUUUUUUCAAAUAAUUUUAAAACCUUAACUAACUACUUUUAGAAUAUUGUAAGGAUAUGCAAGGUACUCUCUGCUGGACACCAUCACUACAAGUAGCUGUUAUGAAUAACACUUGUUUUCUUCAUGAGAGCUAUUUAGUACUCAUUAACUAGGGCAGCCCCAAUUAAGACAAUCAAAAAAUCUGCCACUGGGAUGAACGAUUCAAAAAAUGAUAGCAAAUCUUCCUCAAAUUUACUGUUUAGUGAAAUCUUACAUAUUCAGAGUAAUAUAAAGGCCAACUGAGGUCAAGUAACAAAAAAAGGAGUUAUCCACACUCAGUAGGUCAAUUUUCUGAAUAUGGGAGAAUUCAAGCAAAAUUAUCUAUUUAUCGUGCUUUCCUUUUUGAUUUUAUUUUUCCAUUCAAGAUAUCACAGAAUGUCUGAUAACUGAAACCAUUCUCAAGAAAAUCUUGCUAAUCAAACAAGGAAGUACCAGCGCAUUUGUUGGCGCUAGAAAUCGGUCAACCGAAUCCCAGCGUCCGACACACUACCCGGGAGAAUCUGCUUAGCUCCUGUUCGGGUGAUUGCCCUGGUGCGGUUCGCGCGGCGUGCCAGCCAAUCUGACCUGUUGAUUGGCAAGGAAGAGUACGUGUUAGGUUCAGAAAUCACGAUCGGCUAAGUUUCCGAUCUCGCGAGAGCUUAUCGGCGAAUCGGCCGAUUUGCCUUAAUAAAGGAAUCGGCUAUAAAACAGCCGAUCACUGUAGCCUUGUAGACAGAAAACUACCAGAGUAAUCGAUACAAAGCUUAUGAUAACAACACUAGGAAUAGAUCUAAUCGGCAGUAGACGAAUUAAAUAGCAGAACGUAAAGAAAGCCGACACUACCGAUUCCUAGCUGGAUAGCGGGUGAUAAAACUAGAAAAACAAGAAGAACCCUAUGAUUCUAGUAAGUAUCGAUAACUGGUGAAUAAAUCUAAACGAAACAACAGCGAUACGCCCGAAGUUAAAGCUUAGAUAUUACUCGAUAAGCGGAACUUACAGAAUCGGCCGGAGAUCAAGCUGAUGCAGCCCUGCCAAUCCGUACGAACUCGUGAAAAAGAGAAAGGUGUUGGCGAAGUCUCCUGCUUGAAAGUAAGUACGAGGAAAAAAGUAGUAUGUUGUAUUGAUUGGUUGAUGAUUACAGAUUUACAAAGGUAGCUAUUUAUAGCCCCGUACAAAUAACUUCUUAACCGACUAGAAUUCUAUCCCUAAUUCAAACAGAAAAUGAAUAUCUACAAGCACGAUUCGUGCUAGGUUGGUUACUCCACGCUUCGUGGGCUGAUUUCCACCUCAUCCUUCUAUUCCUUUCCAAGCCCAUACAGGCCCAAUUAACCCAUCCUCCUAAUCGGCCGAUUCCUCAUCGGCAAAAGGCUACCGAUUGGGACUCUGGUAUAUUCGACCUGAAGCGAGACAGAAGUCACCGGCCGAUCUCACACUGUAGCACCAUUUGACCGAUUCCCAACUGUGUUUCUCCGAUUCCCUCUCUUCUUGGUGCCGAUUCUUCUAGUGACGAAAUCUGGCAAUACAUUUACCUUAGAUCUGUUUCUUACUUUUCUACACUCCCCUUUCCUUUUUUAGGCAGUUAGGCAUCGAAUUACCAUUCACCUUACGGGAAAUCCCGGCCUUGUUUGUCUCGGACCUAUGGGAAACCCAAAUCCAAUAGACCUUAUCAAUUUGGAAACCCACAGGAUACCCUUCAAACUGUCUGAUAUGGACUUAGAUCAAUGGCUGGGUACUUUUAGGUCCUGGCCGAAUGAAACCCUAGGUUGGAGGGAGUGGUACCAACGGGUAGCCGCAUCAAAGAGCGUCUCAUGGGAAGAGCUCAAAAUCGGCCAGUGCAUCAACCUAUCCUUAUCCCAGAUGGAGAAAAAUGAGCCGUUAGUGAUGGCGGCCUCUUAUUUUUGGUCUGAUGCACUUAACGCCUUCUUAUUUGGGUACGGACCUAUGACCCCAACGCUGGCCGAUGUGGUCCUAUUGACCGGCCUUGACAUCUCUUCCCCGGACACACCUUACCACCUUCUAGCCGCAACGUCACAUCGGCUGGACACAAGGGGAAUCGGCGGGUGGAAGGGUUUCAUCAGAAGUAAUAAGAGAACCGGGACUGUUGAAAAUAGGGAGUACACGGCCUUCUUGAUGAUGUGGUUAGAAAAACAUUUCUUUUGCGGAAGAGCCGCUGGCCCAUCAACCAAUACCCAGGCCUUAGCCGAAGCGCUGUCCAGAGGAAACCAUGUACCCCUUGGGAAACUACUAGGGGCCGCGUACCACAUGCUCCAUCAAAUCGGCAUCAGACUAUCCAAGGGAGAGCCGAUCGGCAACCCAGGCGGACCCUGGUGGUUCAUCAACUUGUGGCUGAACCUUUAUAUGAGCAAGAUCACUCAGCAGCAGGUGGACCGCAUGAUGUUCCCCAACAUCGAAUCGGCAGAAGACCCUACCGAACGUCGCCGAUGCAUGUCCUUUGGUGAAGCGGCAUCAGCUUUCCCAGGUUGCACGUAUUCUGCUACAAAGGUAGCCGAGUACUUUCGAUGCUUCUAUAACGGCUUUAAUGAAGAUGCAACCAUUUGGUUUCCUUAUGAGCGGGAUGACCCGGUCUUUGAACUCCCAACCUGCUUUGAUUCGACUACUGGCCGAUUUGAUGAAGAGCUUUAUGAUGAGUUAAUCAAGCCAGGACUCCUGCCAGCCAACUUCUUCUCGGGGAAGGAUGCCCCUACGUAUGAAUUCUACAACCCUUCCGUUGCAGCGCGUCAGUUCGGCAUGGGUCAGCUGCCGAUUCAAGUGUAUUUUGCUGGCCGAAUCAAGUUUAGAGAUGAGCUCACAUUUGGUCUGGAUUACAGUCGGUUACGAGACCGAAUUCCGGACUCCAGUACCAUUGACCUGAACGACUGGCUAGUAGCUCCCUUUGCUGUCCAGCCGUUCAAUCUCUGGUGGGCCGAUUGGAAGCAAUUUCUCUUCUGCAACUCAGCAUCGGCAUACUGCAACUUCCUGGACCCAGUCAACAUCGACCCGAACGCCGAGGUACUUCACUUAGCCGAUUUUUAUUCCUCUUAACAUGACUGAGCACUAAUGAUUUUACUAUUUCUUCAGGCCGAGAAUCGAACUCCUCCAACACACAGCCGCAGCGGGCGGCUAAUAGAGAGUCACCCAUACACCACUUAUCCUCUUAUCGGCUAUGAUGCUCCGUCUGUAGACGUGAUUGCUGGCCAAUCGAAACAAGUCCAGAAGAGGACCACCAAGAAGACCAGUCGCCGAGUCCGAGCUCGUAUAGAAUCGGCGAAUCCUCCUGUGCUCGUAUCGGCAGAGACUCCGGCCGCACCACCUUCUCAGGUCAUCCAAGAUGUCGAUACCCAGGCCGUCACGCAAGCUGGGGCAGCCGCCGCGUCAUUGUUAUUGGAGGCCGUUCAGGUAAACCUAAAUUUUAUUGCUUCCGAUUGUUGCUCUGAUAUUAACCCUUCUUAUCUUUAUACUGCACAGAGCACUCCUAUGGAAAUACAACAAUCGGCAGCAACCCAACCGGCCAUCGGCGCACCCCUGCUUCCAUCCAUUGAGGUAUAGUACUAUUUUACCGAUUUCCCUUGGUAUUUGCAUAAUGUAUUUAUUCAAAUCUCUGACAUAGGACAUCGGCACACCAAGCGCUCCUCAACCGCCGGUCUUUUCUCAGGGAGCUGGUCCAAGCACUGCGCCGAUCGUUGUGGAAUCUUCUUCAUCUGAUGAACCCAUGGCGCAGGCCCCUGAGCAAGGCGUGACGGCUUCCCAAGUGCAGCAUGAAGAAAUUCAUUUCAAAGUGGUAAGUUAUAAUCCGGCUUUACUCAGCCGAUUUGCUUCCACUCCAGCCGAUUUAUUUUUCCUUUUAUUAUUUCUAGGAACAAGACACCCCCGACAACAGCCUUUUCUCUUUUGCGGUUGCUCUCUCCGACGAUGAAGAAGUCGCUUCCCGCGAAGUUGCCUUGAGUUCCAUUCCUGAUGACGUCCGAGCCAAACUUGCUAGUAUCCGAUCCCUCCUUCAAGGGGACAUCAGAUGAUUAGUGGAAGAUGCUUCGCCGAUUCGGCAGCUCUUCAGUGACGUCAGUGGACGAGUACCAGAAGAGGCGGAGGAGGCCCUGGCGCCGGCGGCCUUCAUCGAGUCUAUGAGGAUCCCAGUCUUCAGAGCCCUUCGUCAUAUGGCCGAUCGCGCCAAGCUGGCCAAGACUCGUGAAGAGGAGGACGUGUUCAAGCGUCAAGCUCAAGAGGCGCAUCGGCGUAUUUAUUUUCUAGAAGACUCCCGCCCGGGGAUCAUUGGUGAGAUAGACCGCCUCAAGCGUCGGAGGGCGGAACUUGCCAAGGAGAUGGAGCAAGUGACCAAGGCAAUCAGUGCCGAAGAGAAAAGACUCCAAGAACUCCCGUCUGUCAUUGCCGAUUUGAAGCGGGAGAGGCAGUGCCUGGCCCACGAGGCCCUGAAACUCCACCGCAGCGCAUCAGAAGUCCCCGGAUCGGCGGACGACGACCAACGGGUUCUGGACUCCGCCGAUCAGAUCCGGCGUCGGGCAAUCACGGCUAUCGAUACCCUUCUGGGUAAUCUGUAAAACACUGACCGUUUUGUACAAACAUUUACUCUAUACUUUGACCGUCCUUCACAACGCCCUUUCUAUUUAUUGCCUUUCUUAUCUCCGAUGGGACGUAGCCUUACCAAAUUUCCACGCAUCUUUUCCCUAUAAACACCGGCCUAGGCACUUCCUCCCGAUAGUACCAGUUCGGCUUUCGGUUUUACUCUCUUAUUCUUCUCGUCGGCGCGACUUUCCAUCAUGUCUUCGUCAACUUCUUCAUCCUCUGUCAACCAGGUGAAGACUUGGCUUUGACUCCCCCUUCUCUUUUUAGAUUUCAGGAAGAAGAUGCCCCUUCUUAACCUUUCUUUGUUUCAGCCCCAACGUCUUAGCCCUGAGCUCAUACGCGCCAUUGAGAUCAUACACUCUGAAGACCCAUUGUCGUCAGAGGACAUGGAGCUGGUCAGGGCUCAUCGUGAUGAACUUCGAGACCACGUCACCGCGGAGGCUCGUGUGGUCCUGGAGUUUGUGGGGAGUAAUAGUGGCCGGUGCUCUCCUACCGAUAGGAGCCAUCCGCUUCCUCCGCGAGUCGUCCUUGAAGACGCGGCGGCGGGAACUUCGCGUCCGCCCAUGGAUCGGAGCCAUCCUCUCCCUCGUCAAGUUGAAGCGGAGGCUUCAAUGAAAGAAAUAGAAGAAGCAUACCUCCGUAUCAUGAACGAGUUGGAUCGGACUGGGAAGGCGCACAAGAAGAAGAAUAACUAGUUUUUUGUAUUUUUUUUUUGUUCUAAGGGCGACUAGUGUCUUGUCGGCCGUGUAACCCAUCGCCCGUACCGAAUGAAUACAUCGGCCGAUUUGGACGACUACGUGUUCGAACCGAUUUGUAUCGGCUAUGUGUGAUUGCAUCACAGUUAAUCUCUUAUGCUCCGACCCAUAUACUAGGAUAAUAUCUUUUUAAAUACCUUCCGUUCAAAGCUCUAGUAAAUUCUUCCCCCUCUAUUGUUUCCAAGAUGUAAGCAUUCCCUAGAGCACAUCUGCCGAUUUUAUACGGCCCUUCCCAUGUAGGGGACCAUUUUCCGAAUUUAGGAUCUUUCGACCCAAUCGGCAAUACUAACUUCCAUACUAAAUCCCUAGGGGAGAAUUGUUUGACUUUGACCUUCUUAUCGUACCACCUGGCUACUUUCUUUUUGUUUUCUUCGAUGCUUAUCAGAGCUCUCAAUCGUUGGCCAGCCAAAUCAUCAAGUUCCCUUUUCAUCAGUGAUGAGUAGUCAUCGGCCGUCAACUGGUCCUAGAGCGAAAUACGCCUCGAUCCCGCCCUCGAUUCCCAUGGUAGUACUGCAUCGUGACCGUACACCAAUUGAUAGGGAGAUAACUUGGUAGCCCCAUGACAAGCCAUCCUGUACGCCCAUAGGGCCUCAGUCAAACAUAGAUGCCACUUCUUUGGCUGUUCCUCGAUUUUUCUUUUGAUUAACUUGAUUAUCCCUUUGUUGGAGGACUCGGCCUGACCAUUGGCUUGGGCGUAAUACGGAGAAGAAUUCAACAAUUUGAUCCCCAUAUCGGUUGUAAAUUCCUCGAAUUCCCCCGAUGUGAACAUUGUCCCUUGAUCGGUCGUAAUAGUCUGAGGAAUGCCGAAUCGGUAGACGAUGUGAUCCCUUAUGAAGUCGGCCAUGAUAGCCGAUGUCACGGCUCUUAACGGAAUUGCCUCCACCCAUUUAGUAAAGUAAUCGGUAGCUACCAGAAUAAACUUAUGCCCUUUACUUGAUGGAGGGUAAAUUUGGCCGAUAAGGUCUAUUCCCCAUCCCCUGAAUGGCCAUGGCUUGAUGAUAGGAUUCAUUGCCGAUGCAGGUGCACGUUGGACAUUUCCGAACUUUUGACAAUCCUGACAUCCCUUAUAAUAUUUGAAACAGUCUUCGGGGAUCGUUGGCCAGUAGUACCCAUUAUUCCUGAUCAUCCAUUUCAUCUUAUGGGCUGAUUGGUGUGCCCCACAUACCCCUUCAUGGAUUUCUCCCAUUAGAGUCUUGGCCUCCUCUGUCUCAAGGCAUUUGAGAAGAACCCCGUCGAUCGUUCGGUAGAACAGGUCGUCUUCGAGCAGUACGUAUUUAGUAGCAUGAAAACGUACUCGUCGUUCCACCUUUUUAGACGGAUCCUUCAGGUAGUCGGCAAUUUCUUUACGCCAGUCGUCGGCCGUGAGUUCUAGAGCCAUAGCGCCUAGAAUUGGCCGAUAUCCAGAUGCGUGCUGGGCGAGUUUGUUGGCAUCUUCGUUGCGGUCCCUUGGGAUGUGCUCGAUUACUGCCGAUCUAAAUUCUUUUAAGAGCUGUAAGCAAUCUUCGUAAUAAAUUCUUAAUACGUCGUCUUUGCAUUCGGACCUUCCGGUCAGUUGAUCUACAAUAAGCAUGGAGUCUCCGAAGAUUUCAACAGAGUCGGCCUUGACUUCCCUUAAUAGUUGUAGGCCCUUCAAUACAGCUCGGUACUCCGCUUGAUUGUUAGUAGCGGCGGUUUCUAUCGGCAGAGAAAAAUCAUAGCUUGCCCCCCGAGGCGAUAUGAGAACGAUGCCGAUUCCUGAUCCGACCCCACAUGAUGACCCAUCGAAAUAUAAUGUCCAAGGUGCCGGCUCCACGAGGGCGACCCCCGGUCCGCAGUGCUGGGCGACGAAAUCGGCCAUAACCUGACCCUUGACGGCUUUUGCCGAUUCAUACCGUAGGUCGAACUCUGACAAAGCUAAGAUCCAUUUGCCGAUUCGGCCUUUCAAGAUCGGCAGUGAUAGCAUAUAUUUUUAUACGUCGUCUUUGCAUACGACCACGCACUCUGCCGACAGUAGAUAGUGCCUGAGUUUGAUGCAUGAGAAGUAAAGACAUAGGCACAAACGCUCCACCGGAGGAUAUCUUGUUUCAGCGUCCAGAAGUCUCCUACUGACAUAAUAAAUUACCCGUUCCUUGCCUUCGAACUCCUGGACUAGAGCCGACCGAAUAGCUUUUUCAUCGGCUGAUAAGUAUAGUUUAAACGGCUUACCAGUUUGAGGAGGAACCAAUACUGGUGGCGAGACCAAGUAUUGCUUGAUAUCUUCCAAUGCUUUGCGCUGCUCCUCCCCCCAUAUGAAUUCCUGGUCAGGCUUUAGCUUCAACAAUGGUGUGAACGCCUGAAUCCGCCCAGAUAGAUUAGAUAUGAAUCUUUUGAUGAAAUUCACCUUGCCGAUUAAAGACUGCAACUCGGUUUUGUUUUGCGGGGCUAUGACUUUGUUGAUGGCCGCUAUGGUUUUCCGAUUGAUCUCUAUUCCUCGUUCGUGCACCAUGAAUCCUAAGAACUGUCCGGCGGAUACGCCGAAAGCACAUUUAUUGGGAUUCAUCUUAAGACCGUGCUUUUUGGUACAUUCUAGCACUCUUCGUAAAUCGGCCAGAUGCUCUUCGUGACCUUUGGACUUGACUACGACAUCAUCGAUGUAGAUCUCUACUAGAAUGCCAAUAAGUUUGUGAAAUAUGUAAUUCAUGGCUCUCUGAUAUGUAGCGCCAUUGUUCUUCAAGCCAAAAGUCAUCACCACCCACUCGAACAAGCCAAGGUGGCCUGGGCAUCUGAAGGCCGUUUUGGGUAUGUCCUCUUCGGCCAUAAGUAUUUGAUUGUACCCAGCGUUUCCGUCCAUGAAGCUAAUAACUUUGUGUCCCGCAGCAGCGUCGAUCAGUACAUCGGCCGUCGGCAUGGGGUAACCAUCCAUCAGCGUGGCCUGAUUAAGAUUCCUGAAAUCAACGCAAACGCGUAGCUUUCCAUUUUUCUUGUAUACUGGUACGAUGUUGGAAAUCCACUCGGCAUAACGACAUAGCCGAAUAAAUUUCGCUUCAAUUAGCCGAGUUAUUUCAGCUUUUAUGUCUGGUAGAAUCUUAGGAUUGCAGCGCCGUGCGGGUUGUUGGUACGGCCGAUACCCUGGUUUUAUGGGUAGCCGAUGUUCAACAAUAGAUCGGUUUAAACCGGGCAUCUCGUGAUACUCCCAAGCAAAACAAUCCUUAAAUUCCUUUAACAAAUUUGUCAAUUUACACUUGUAUUCUGGGUCUAAAUUUGCACUAAUAUAAGUCGGCCUUGGUUUGGUGCCAUCACCUAAGUCUAUCAUUUCUAAUGAAUCAGCCGACGUAAACCCGUGCCCUAGCUUUCCAUCUUCUCGGGCGAACUGAUCCAUCUACUCUGAGUCUUCGGAGCCGACUGCUCGGAUCGGCUGCAGGCCAAAAUCGGUGACCUUCAGGAAAUCGGUCUCCCAUACUUUGCCGGAUAUGCACCUGACGAUUUCGCAGCUCCACUGCUGCGUGUCGGCUGUCGCUAUGCUGUACGCGGAAUUGGCGUUGACCACCUCGAUGUUGUCGCCGACCCAUUGCACAAGGCAUUGAUGCAUUGUUGACGGGAUGCAGCAGUUUGCGUGUAUCCAGUCUCGGCCGAGUAGCAUGUUGUAGGACCCCUUGCCAUUAAUAACAAAGAAGGUGGUAGGAAGGGUCUUACUGCCGAUGGUGAGGUCGACGCAGAGAGCGCCGCGAGCGUUUGACACGUUGCCUUCGAAGUCCUUGAGCAUCAUGUCUGUCUUGGUCAAGUCGUCGUCGCUUUUCCCAAGCUUUCGGAGCACGGCGUACGGCAUGAUGUUGACAGCAGCUCCUCCGUCUACCAUUAGUCUAGUAAGGGGGCGGCCGUCAACAUGCCCUUUAAGGAACAGUGCCUUCAUGUGUUGCCGUUCGUCAUCUUCGGGCUUCUCGAACGUGGCCAUCAUUGGCUCCAAAGCCAACUGUGCUGUCUGUUCUUCUAUUGCCGAUACAUUCUGUUGAUCGGCGGGAGUCAUGAAUUCCAUCGGCAGUAUGAAAACCAUGCCGAUCUCGGCUGCCGAUUCGUCACCCGCCGAUUCGUCGUCCCCUUUAUCGCUUCUUUUGGGGCGCCACACCCGAGGCCUUCCUUCCUUCUUGUCUGGCGUGCUCUGUUGUUCCUCUUCUUGCUGUUCCCAUUGGCGGAGAUGCUGGAUUCUUCGUUUUUGAGACUUAGUCAAUCCAUCGGGACACCACCUGGGGUUUAUUGGUCUGCCCCCUGACAUGGCGCGUUCCCACUCCGGUUCGCGUCCUGACGGGUUUUCAUCUGUUACCCGAGCAUCGGCCAUCUCUUCAAGCCGCUGUGAACGUUGGCUUUGUUUUCUGACCGGUCGUGCCGAUCAGUCCUGCCCCCUGCCUAUCAUGGCGUCUAUCUUCCGACCGAUCAUAUCGGUCACUUCUGCCCCCCAGCCGAUCACGCACGGGAGGGCGCUGGUCUUCUUGGUCGCGCCAAUUCCUGCUGAUCGGUUCUGGCCUUCCGUCUCUGGAGCGAGACCUGUUGAACGGCCGAUUGCUACGAUAUGGACCGUUGCAUUCUGGGCAAGUAUCGGCCGAAGGUAGCCUGAGGUUGUUUUCCCAACAGUGAAUGAAGAACGGGCACCUCCAGUGCUCUUCGUGCCGUCGCAUUGCAACUUCCCGGGACCUUGAGCGUUCAUGCUGACGUUGGUACUUCUGGAGCAGGAACUGGGAAGUAAUGCGUGGCUCUCUUGAUUCGUCGUCGUCCUCCUCCAUCCGCCGCUUCCCCUUGACAUCUUCAGGCGUAGCUUGAUUUCUGGGGUCGACGGCGCCACUCUUUUUGGCCGAUUCGGACGUCAGCACUUUUGUUUGGAGUGAAUUCUUCCCCGUAUCAGCCAUGUUGGUGGGGAAGGGGUAUUGAUCAAUCUUCAUUGGUUUGGCCGAUUUUGCUGGCACUUCAAAUUUAAGUCUGCCUUGCUCAAUGGCCGACUGUAUCUGCUGCCUGAAGAUCUUGCACUCAUUGGUAUCAUGGGAUGUGGCAUUGUGCCACUUGCAAUACUUCAUCUUUUUUAGUUGUUUGGCAGAAGGUAUUGUAUGGUACGGUGAGAGUUUAAUCUGCCCUUCCUGGAGGAGAAGGUCGAAGAUUUUAUCGGCCUUAGUCGUGUCAAAGCCGAACACCUUCGGCUCCUUUUUGCCAAAUGGGCAUGAUAUCGGCUUCUUCCCCUUGAUCCACUCCGCAAGUCCGACUUCAACAUCUUCCUCAUCCUCUAACUCUUCCAGGAACGCCACUUUCUUCUGGAAAUUCCUCCGUGGAUCGAAAGAACGUACCUCCUGUCCAGAAUAUCGGUGGACAAUCUGGCUCAAACUCUCGAACUCCUGUGACACGUAUUUUUCUUUGAUGUGGGGCAGAAGGCCUUGAAAAGCUAUGUCGGCCAACUGCGCGUCGGUUAGAGCCAGGGAGUAGCACUUGUUUCUGAUUUCCCGAAACCUCUGUAUAUACGAGGAUAUCGGCUCGUCACUUCUUUGCCUGAGGCUGGUCAAAUCGGACAGCUUCAUCUCAUGCACCCCGGCGUAGAAGUAUUUGUGGAAUUGUCUUUCUAAAUCGGCCCAUGUGACAAUCGAGUUUGGCGGCAAUGUCGUGAACCAUUGAAAGGCCGAACCAGACAGAGAUGAUGAGAACAACCGUACCCGUAAGGCAUCCUGCGUAGCUGCCUCUCCGCACUGGAUGAUGAAUCUAUUCACGUGCUCUACGGUCGAAGUAUCAUCCAUCCCCGAAAAUUUAGUGAAAUCAGGAACUUUAUACCGAUGGGGAAACGGCAAUAGGUCAUAUGUAGACGGGUAUGGUGUUCUGUAGGUAUAAGUUUGUACUUUCGGCUUCAAGCCGAAUUGUUCUUGCAUCACCUCCGCAAUACGUGCCGACCAAUCUGGCUGUUGCUGGUGAACCGUUGGCUGAGGAAUUGGCACGUGCUGGUAAAUUGGAGGCUGAAUAAACGGAGGCUGAUUGAAAGAUGGAAUCUGAGUGAAAGCCGGCUGUGUAGUAAAGGUCGGCUGUUUGAAUGAGCCACUCGUUUCAUCAUAUAGCAUGAAUUCUGCCGUCUUGUUGACCUCCGGAGCGACAGGCUGGUAUGGCGGUAUGGUUGGCCGAAUGGCCGCCUGGAAGGACGCCUGGAAGGGAGGGUUUCCUUGAUUGGCCGAUUGAUUCUGGCCGGCCGUGACUGAAGGUGCCCCCCAGGGUGAUGGGCUAACUGGAGGGAAUGGUGCAGAGGACAGUUGGAUGGAGUUAUACCCCAUAGGAGCUGAUGAUGAGGAAGCCCCUGAACCUCCGACAGAAAAUUGGAUCGGCUGUGAAACCGAAUUUGAAUAAUUCUGAUUUGGUGGAAUCGGCUGAAAAUAUGCCGGUCCCCUGUAUCCUUGAGGUAUCCCACCAGCGAAGGAAUUGACAACGGCGUUGUGCACCAUAUUUGAAAGUACUGGGGACUGAUCAACGAAGGCAUGAUAAAUGGACUGUUGGAUCAUAUCGGACAUUUUGUCCGAAUCCUCAGAAAUCGUGAUCUGGCGGGGAGCAGGGAACGGAGUCUUCUUGAUAGUCUCCCCACUUCUGGAGUGACUGAAAGACUGUAGGCAAGCUUUCCGGAACUGGGCCGUAUACUUAUCCAGUUCUUCCUUCUGGUCGUCCUUCAGAUCUGCUUCCGUCACCUCGAUGACGUUUUCUUCGGAGACUUCAGCAGCUUUCGACAUGAUGGCGGUUGUAUUGGUCCCACCGAGCGUGCCAAAAGUGUGUUGGCGCUAGAAAUCGGUCAACCGAAUCCCAGCGUCCGACACACGACCCGGGAGAAUCUGCUUAGCUCCUGUUCGGGUGAUUGCCCUGGUGCGGUUCGCGCGGCGUGCCAGCCAAUCUGACCUGUUGAUUGGCAAGGAAGAGUACGUGUCAGGUUCAGAAAUCACGAUCGGCUAAGUUUCCGAUCUCGCGAGAGCUUAUCGGCGAAUCGGCCGAUUUGCCUUAAUAAAGGAAUCGGCUAUAAAACAGCCGAUCACUGUAGCCUUGUAGACAGAAAACUACCAGAGUAAUCGAUACAAAGCUUAUGAUAACAACACUAGGAAUAGAUCUAAUCGGCAGUAGACGAAUUAAAUAGCAGAACGUAAAGAAAGCCAACACUACCGAUUCCUAGCUGGAUAACGGGUAAUAAAACUAGAAAAACAAGAAGAACCCUAUGAUUCUAGUAAGUAUCGAUAACUGGUGAAUAAAUCUAAACGAAACAACAGCGAUACGCCCGAAGUUAAAGCUUAGAUAUUACUCGAUAAGCGGAACUUACAGAAUCGGCCGGAGAUCAAGCUGAUGCAGCCCUGCCAAUCCGCACGAACUCGUGAAAAAGAGAAAGGUGUUGGCGAAGUCGUCUGCUUGAAAGUAAGUACGAGGAAAAAAGUAGUAUGUUGUAUUGAUUGGUUGAUGAUUACAGAUUUACAAAGGUAGCUAUUUAUAGCCCCGUACAGAUAACUUCUUAACCGACUAGAAUUCUAUCCCUAAUUCAAACAGAAAACGAAUAUCUACAAGCACGAUUCGUGCUAGGUUGGUUACUCCACGCUUCGUGGGCUGAUUUCCACCUCAUCCUUCUAUUCCUUUCCAAGCCCAUACAGGCCCAAUUAACCCAUCCUCCUAAUCGGCCGAUUCCUCAUCGGCAAAAGGCUACCGAUUGGGACUCUGGUAUAUUCGACCUGAAGCGAGACAGAAGUCACCGGCCGAUCUCACACUGUAGCACCAUUUGACCGAUUCCCAACUGUGUUUCUCCGAUUCCCUCUCUUCUUGGCGCCGAUUCUUCUAGUGAUGAAAUCUGGCGUCAACAGCAUCUAUGCAAUAUGUAAGAUGCUUGUGUGUGCAUCAGAGUACACUUGAAAAUUGAUACUUCAAUAUUUACAAGGUGAAGUUUAUCAGAUACAGAUAGCAAUAUAGCAUACCUCACUUGAAGGAACUUUUAAGCGUUCACGCAACGCCGGAUUUUCCAAUUUCUGAAGUAAGACACCCAAGCAAGGAAACCCUACAUGUUGUUUGAAAAUAUUGAGCAUAGCUUCAACAGACUACAGUUACGUGCCUCACAAAAAACAUAGUGUUACAAACUUACAAUACAGAUUUACUAAGUAAUGCAUACUCAAUAUAGUGUCACUUGAUGAAUUAUCAGUUUUUAUACAAAUGAAACACAAUACAUUUUUCAUCAUAUACCAAUACUGUUCUCCAUCUGGCAACACAGGCACCACAAUCAACAGGUGCUAAAGUGCUUAUCAAAAAAUUCAGGCACCACAACCGUUUGACAAUUGCAUGUAUGCUGACAAUGGAUAGGUUCUAACCCCCGACCAAGAAUGCCCCAGAUGCACAACAAACCCCCGGCGAUCAUUCCAACGAUGGAAACCCAUCAGACUCUGGUACUGUAGAUCGCCCGACAAGAUGAAGGAAACUAACCUGGCGGUGUGACUCCAACGACGGCGCGAUUUCGGCGGGAUGCCGUCGUUCUCCCCAGCAAAGCCAAAGGACAGGCAAGCUCGGAGUAGAUUAGGGUUUCGCCGCUCCAACCUAUGACGAAUCAAAAGGUGUCAUAAACACAUUUUUGCAUCAUAAGCCGUGAUUUAUUACACGGGAGUGAUGAAAACCUUCGUCAUUAGUCGAGCGUCAUAAACCACGACUAGUGAUGUUCCUUAUUUUGCUACGUCACUAAGAUUAUGACGCCUACAAAUCGUCAAACAGAAACGUCAUAAAUUGCUACCUACUAUUUUGCCACGAUUGACAGAAUCUGAUGUGACAUCCGAUGUGGCAUGACAAUUGUGACAAAUUGUAUCGUCAUAAAAUGAAUUUGACCCAUUUGUUAUUGGGUCGAGCCCAAACAUAUUCCCACAUGUCUUCAGAUAGCCUAAAAUUGAUUCCGGUAAGCCUAUUUGUUAUUGGGUCGAGCCCAAAUCUGUUCCCACAGGCCAAUGUUGUUCACAUAGUACAAAAUUGAUUCCGAUAGGCCUUUUUUUGUCGAGCCCAAAAGUUGUGUAAAUUAUUUGCGGCCCUUUUAGUCCUAAUUUAUGAAUAAAAUUUGGCCCAAUUAUAUGGGGGCUAAGCCCACUUAAGGCAAAUAUAAAUUUAACCAAUUGGGCCUAACAAGUAAUUGAUUUCAUUCCAAUUCCAAUCCAGUUGGUAAAAUAAUAAACAGAACACACAUAUAAUUAUUGUUCCCCAUCGAGACAACCACUACCAUAUUGUUCAUCACAUAUCACAAACUAUUAUAAGAUAACUGUCUCACAAAGAACAGAGAUUAACAUAGCUGCAUCCAGGUCAUAAUCUCAAGAGACAAAGUAGAGCAUUGAUCUUAACCUCUUGUACAGGAUAGCACGAAGGAGUGCUUCACUAUCUUGUGUUACCUUCUUCAAUUUCUCAAUCUCGGCUGACUGCAAUUUGAGAGUUGAUUCUGAUUCUUCUAUCUUCUUCAUUUCAAGGUAGCUAACUCUUCCUUGUGAGCAACAAACUGUUGUCGAAGUUGUAUCCCAUCCUGUUUGUUGGCGUCAACUUGCUCCUCAUCAAAACUGCCGCAUAAGGAUUUAGUAGAGCUUCUUGAGUACUCUGCUGCCACAUCACGUUCUUGUUUUGCAAGAAGCACCAUUGAUUUGAGAACUUCCAUCUAGCAACAGUGGAUACGACGCUAGAUUGUGAUCUUGUAAGUGAUUAAAACUAAAGAAAGAAGAACGUCAAUAAUCAUCAUGUGUUUAGUUUGUUACCCUGGAGCUAGACUGAAAAGAAGCGACUACGGAUGUUGACCCUCUAGCCAGCUGAAACAGGAUACAAUCAAACUUCAAUUGAUACAUUUGUUUAAGUAUAAAUUAAGAGUGGACAAAUGAACAAGCACAAGAACAUGUGGCAAAGGUUGAGAUCAUUCGCAAACUAAAGCAAUUUCAUCUAUUAAUUUCUACAAAUCACAUAAACAAUUUGACCUGGCACAAAAAUAUCUAUUGGAAAGGUGAAAGAUAAAGAGGAUUUGCUGGAGCAGUAAUUUUUCACCAACUCUACCAAUAGGGUACAACAGGUCCACAUUCCCCAAUCUAACUACAAUAGUGAAAGCCAAAGAUCAUGGGGAAGCAAUCUAAUAAUUUCAUCUAUUAAGUUCUACAAACCCCAUAAAUAAUUUGACUUGGCACAAAAAUAAUUAUUUGAAAAGGUGAAAGAUAAAGGGGAUUUGGUGGAGCAGUAAUUUUUCACCAACUCUCGCAAUACGGUACAGCAGAUCCACAUUCUCCAAAGCAUGCAACUACAAUAUUGAAAGCCAAAGAUCAUGGGGAAGCAAUCUAAUAAUUGAAUUUAGCAAUACGGGGAGGAGACCACUGACCUGACGAACAUGAAGAGAAGGAAGUGCUGAAUGCCGCCUCAAUGGAGCAGCCCAGGCAUGCGCCGCUUCCUCGGUCUUCUUCGCACGUACUUGAGCACAGCAGUCGCCAGUGGCAGCCUUGGGGAAGCCGAUGGAGUGAUGGCUUCGAACCAUCUCGCAGCUUCAAGCCCAUUGCCGAGGAAGCCCACCGCUCAUAGCUGAGGUAGCUCGCCGCUAGUCAAGCUUGAUGGUGCUGCCGAGGUCACGCUUGCUAUCGCCGCUGCAGAUCUACUAUGGCUAUUCGGUGGGAAGAAGAGAGAGGACUAAUUUUGGAAUUACCAGGCGGGAUGUGGGAAGCUUGGCUCCCCUCUUUUAUUUAUAUAUAAUGGGGGAGGACCCAAAGGAUGUGUAGGGAAUUCAAAAUUUCAGAUCCCACCUUUGUGUUCGGUAGCGGGAGACGAAAUUCUUUGGAAACUGCCACGAGACCUGAGUCACUGACACGUUGGACUGCUUGGCACUCGGACCCAAGCCUUAGUGACCUUACAUAGACGAGCGGUUCUAGAAGGGAGUUUGGGACAGUCCGUGGCAUCAUGGCAUUGAUAAGCACUUCAAGGAUUAUCCUCCUUUGUAGAAUCAUGUCUGCAGGAUGAUCCGACUAUUGCAUUACAAAUGCACUUCAAUGCAAAAAAUUAAUGUACCGUUUCGAAUAUUACAUGAUAAAAUACACUUAAAUAAUACAUUAAAACUACAGCGGACUCUGGCAGCUGCAUCCUAAUAUCUACUCGAUGUUCUUUAAAGCAAGCACAUGGAUCCUCUUGAUAACUUCAGGAUGGUGGUAACACACGAACACAAAAUCCUCUAUGAGACUUCCGUCUAGCGAGAUUAGCGCUAUGAGAGACAUGCACUUCUCCUGCAAUUGGGUGCAGUUAGUCUCAAAUGCCCAUCGUAGAAAUGUGGUCACAGUUUUCUCACAAGCCAUGUCCCAUAUCUUUGACGCACAGUGCAACUUUAACUGUUUGACGCAGUACAUGUCAACGAGUGAGGGUAACACAUGCCAUGCGUUGAUAGGGGUGUCCCAUAAAUUAGCCUCCUCUGGGAGUGAUCCUUCGUAGGCGUAUUUGAUCAGCAGCGAGAAGCCAGUAGGGUUAGUGUCUUUAAUUGAAACAGUUUCUGACUUUGACUCCACUCCGCUGCCAUAGAGCAAUGCCUCCAUCACACGAGAUACCGCCACAUCGGCCCGUCUUGCUCAAAUCACUCAGCCGUCUAUGUCGAAGACGACGUCCAUAGGGGCUUGGGCUGCAAUUGUUGUGCAUAUGCUUCUGCCUACAGAUGGAGGUAGAACUUCAAUGCAGUCGUCCUCUAGUACUAUAACAAUGUAGGAUAUGUUUACGCAACCGGAAUGGUCCCACACACGUUCAAUCUCAUGAUGCCCCACGAGGCAGUUAAUGCCAUGUUCAAGAUUCCCAUUCCUGAAUUCAAGUUUCUUUAAAUCUUGAACUCAAAAUGUAUCAUCAUAAUCUAUUGCGUCUCUAGCCACCGCACGGAACAAGACUCGUACCUACGUGCAAGCAUUCACAGGGUUAACCAUUGGAGCGUAUAUGUGAGCAUGUGUAUUCAUAGCAAUGAGACACCUACCUUUUGCGCGCUAUUCAUCAAAACGAGGAUGACGGAAAUUCCUUCUAGUUCUGCUGGUGGCUACCACGGAUCAUGAAUACCUGUAGGGUAGCAACAUAUCCUCCAUUGACGGCCUCCGAUCAUGAAUGUACUAGAUUCCUUGUUCUGCCCAAUAGUUCUUUCUGCUUUUGCGUAUUCUUCCUUCCACUUCCUUGCAUCGUAAUUAUUGUAAGAGUUUUCCAUUGUUAGCUCCUUCAUCAACAUAUCGUUUCUCAUUUUCUUCCUCGUGUUCAUCACAAAAUUGGUUGCCUCCCCAAAAUAUCGCUUCAUCAAAUGCAGCUCAUGGGUUGUGUCAUUGACCUCCUUCUUAGCAAUUAUCCAUGCUUCUUCCCACGACCUUGCUUCUUCUUCAACUUUUUCCUUCCUCUUCAUCAGCUUCACCAGAACACCUUUAGUCCUAGCAUCCCAUUCAGGUUCAACCCACCUAAACGACGCACAUUUCAUCCCUUCAUUCUGCAGACACCAAUUACGUUCAUACAAUUCACCAUUUACAACACUAACAUCAAAAGUAGAAGCAAGGUUUAUUAGAAUUGAAAUAAGUUAUCGUUUACCUCGCAGCAGCAUGCAUACCGACGCCCAAAGUUGUCAAAUAUCCAAUCAUACCUCUCAUAGAAAGGCAACCCAUGCUUGCACUUAUUUUCAGGAUCCACAAUGAUAACAUCACGAUCAGGCGACGGCAAGUUGUAGCUAUCAGUGACUCCAAGCACCUGUGGAAGCUAAUAAAAUACAUGAACCUACCAAAUUAUAAAGUACUCCAUCCAUUUCAAAUUAUAGGUCGUUUUGUCUUUUCUAGAUACAUGAUUUUUGCUAUACACCUAUGGGAGCUGAUUCUUUGAGAGAUGUGAUUUUGUGGCUGAAAAUGAUUCUCUUUGAUUCUCUAGCAUUAACUCUUAAAAUCAGGAUGGAGAAUCACUUCAUAAACUAUAGCCUAUCAACUUUGAACACCAAUCGGAACGCAAAUUUAAGGGUACGAUGAAAUCGGAAUCUAGUAUCUUCAACUCAGAUCUCCAAAUUCAGAAAUCCCCUUCCCUAGGACGAUAGGGGAAAGUAGCGGCACAAAAUAGGGGACUGACCUAACUGGAGCUCCUCCUCAUCCUCCCUUCACCCCUACGCCUGCUAGGAUUCGCCAUUCCCGCUGCAGGCGGUUGCAGAUCUACGUACCGACGCUAGCUCUAGUCUUUGCCAUAGCCAAUAGGAGCAUGGUGCCGGCGAGUCUUUUGCAGUAGUACGUCGUGUUGAGAAAUGAGAAAUAUACCCCAUGCUUGGGCCUGCAACUGGCAUGUUGACCACACUUAUUAGAACCCAAAUAUAUAAAAUGUGUCCUUUUGAAAAAACAUACAUAGUUCAUAUCUUAGUGGUAGUGCUGUCUCAGCACAUUCAAGAGGUCAAAUGUUCGAGCAUUGUUAUCGAUACUAUUUUCUUUUUAUUUUUCUUUCUUUUUUUCAUCUCAGACUAACAUAACUUACCAAAACUUCUGCCACCAACUCACCUGAAACUUACAUGUGUGUCUCAAUUGCGGUAAAGACCUCCCAUUCGAUCGGUAACAGGUUCGACCCAUGGGAGGAGCACGUUUUCCUUUUUAUUUUACCGUGCUAUUUAUCAGCUUAAACCUACAUGUGGGACCCUGGUUGGUUUAUGACGUUUUCGCGGACCUUAUAUCGUCACAAACCCACCAUUUAACAGCAAGUGACGAUUUCAUUUUUGUUAGAGUGGUACAUUUUAUAACGUUCCGUAACUUUGUCACUAAAUUUGCUCAAAUGUGAAAUUUUAUGACGUUUUCAGCCAGAAAUGUCAUAAAUCUAUGACGAGAAUAAAUGUGUCGUAAAAUUUUUGUCAUAGAUCAACACAUUUCUUGUAGUGAGAAGAACGUGACGUUGGCGAUUGUGACGGCGUGGGGGUUGAGGCUCGCUAAGACGGGGCCGGCUUGUGUUGGCGACGGUGAUGGCAACGGCGCAGGCAACAGUGCAUUUUUGGUGGAGGCGGUGGAGUCUUGGGAGGCGAUGGAGUAUAGGGAGGCAUUGUGGAUCAGGAAAGAGGUGUACGCGGAGGCUGCAUGCGGAGGGGGAGGCGGAGUCGGAGGUGUAGGGAGACGAGUGAAGAAUGAAUGGCGCUGCGAUGUUUACCAGUUAUCCCGGAAGGAGAAACUUUGAUCCGAGGGUGGGAAUCGACCGCAGCGAGGGCCAUGGGGGAGGGCAACGGGACGGACCAUAAAAACGUCACCUCUUUUUUUAGCUGUAGAGAUUGGGGCACUCACCAUCCAUCCCUAAACUUCAAUGCAACGUACUCCCUUUGUUUAGUGCCAAAGUACGAGUCAUUUUAAUUUUAUACUAAAUCAAACUUGUUUAAUUUGAUAAAGUUUAUAGACAAAAGUAAGGACAUAUACAGCAUCAAACUAGUCACGAAAUAUAUACUGGUGGUGUAUUUAUAAUAUUAUGGAAAUUAAUGUAUAGUUUUCUAUAAACUUAAAGUUAGAAAUGUUUGACUUAUGAUAAAAAUAAAAUGAGACAUAAUUUACAGAGGAGGUACUACGCUGCAUUAUUGAAGUUUAACAUUGCAGAUAAAAACCAAACACUUUUUUUAUAUGCUUUUCAGGGACAUAUUGGCUUUGGUUCUAAACUUUUUUGCAGCACAUUGAUGACCGAAGAGAGCACGACUGGUCGAGGCACGCGGUCUAUUAGAUUCUAGAGCUGUGCACUGAUUGUGGAUUGAUGCCUCUCUUUUUAGAGGAGCUAUUUUCAUUAUCUAUUUUUUUUUUACUCUGAUUGCCUGAUGUUAAUUCAGAUAGGGAAAGAUAGACGUGAGUAGUAAUUUGUUUACCACAUUGAUCUCAAUCAGUGCACAACAAAGAAUCAUCUCCAUGUUAUAUCUACUAUUAACCUACCAGGUACUCUUGUAUACACUCCAUACAUCUGUAGCACGAGCAUUGACAUCUUCCCUUCCUAACAGUCCAUUUCUUUUGAACCUUGCGACCUGACAUGCAUCUGGCGGACCCACCUGUCAUUCGGUCACAAUUAAUUCGUUGAGGAGGCCUCUGCUUGCUGACUCAGCACGUGCAUGUACGCGCGCGCACGGCGCCACGCCGCCGCCACCGGCGUCCGGCGGCCGGUUACUAGCACUUGUCGACGUCCCUCCACUUGAGGUACUCGACUCCGGCGAGGUAGUGCGCGUACGCGCCGGCGACGACGAAGAGGUGGAACAGCUGGUGGCUGUGCCCGACGAGGUCGAACCUCCCGGGCGCCCACCGCUCCGGCACCCGCGCCGCGUAGACGACGACGCCGAGCCCGUAGAGCGCCCCCAUGAGCGCCUCGUACGCCGCCGAAGCCACGGCCCCCGGCGCCGUGCCGCCGUAGAUCACGAGCUUGUGGGCGAUGGGCACCACUCCCGACGCGCCCAUGCAGGAGAAGAGGGCGGCGCGGAGCGGCCGGAGCUCGGGGGCCUGGAACGCCGGCACCAGCGACACCGUGGCCGCGGCGGCGCCCAGCGCCGUGAUGGAGCCCAUGUAGAGGCGCUGCAGCGAGGGGGCGCAGAGGAAGGAGUAGUAGGCUAGCGGGUAGAAGGAGGUGACGAUCAGGGCGGCGAUGCCGGCGUAGUCGAGGCGGAGCGUCACGUACGCCGUGCGCUCCGAGUGGCACAGGAUCAGGUGGCACGCGCUGCUCGUCAGCAGGCACACCAUCGCGCCGGCGAGGUACGCGAACAGCGGCCACCGCGUCACGGGCUCGCCGGCGACGACGAGUGCGUCCGUGGCCGUACCAUUAGUGUCCUGCAGAUGCAGUCGUUGUCGGAUCUACGACAGUAAAGGAUGAAACAGGAAAAAGUGAAGGGGAAAAAAAUCUUACAAAGGAGGAAAAAAUCUUAUAAGGAACUGAAGUUUUAAUCACCAGAUUCAUUUACUACAGUGAAACACAGUGGAUGAUUCAAGAGCAGUUUUCAGGUUACAGAGACUUCAACUGGGUUUGUUACUGAAACAUGAUGCUAAAUAUACUACUACUUGGUAUAUCUCGUGCAAAGCCUAAAAUGCACACUUGAUUUGCUACAGUGCAAUGGAUUUGUGGUCCGGUGUGCUCUUGUUUGCAGGUCUGCCCUUCUGUAUGAAUUCCCAAAGCAGAGAUCCAGAAGGUACAGGGCAUGCAUAUAUGGAUGCUUGGCCACCAUCUAAAAAAUAAUGCAUAAGCACGCGCACUUUUAUUUUUAUUUUUUGCCUUAUUUGUUGUUCGACCGAAAUCUUAUGAUUGGGCCGCGGUCGGAAGAGAAAUCGGUUAACAAAAUCCCCACAAUGUUUUUAUCAACAGGCAUUGUGUAUGCAAAUGAGAUUUGCAUGUUCAGUUGCAAACACAAAACUCUCAAAGCAAAUUGGAAGUGUUGCUGUCUCAAUGCACGGCUGCACGCAUCAUGCAGCUAUCAUGAUUAUAAUGGUACGGUUGACCACUACAAACCAAGGCUUGCAUAACCCAAUUUGGUUGUUUUCCGUCACAUCCACAGAAAAGCAGCUGCAAUUCCACUACUACACUGAAAACCGUUGCAUGUAUAUAUCAAUCACUCCCAGUUUGAGACACAUUUGCAAAUUCCAGCUGGUUCAUCACCCAACUAAUUUCAAUUUUCUGUUGUCAUGGCUCAUAACUGUUUUAGUACUACCACAACCUGUAACACUCUGGCUGCCAAAAACAUGAAAAGAUUGGUUGGUUGGAGUAAACCAUAAAAAAAAAAGAACAGUACUAUUGUUUGUACCAGCCUGAUGAAAUUAUGAAAACCAAACAACAACAACUAAAGCAUGCAUCAACAAGCUUAUUAAGAACCCUAGCUAGCAGGGGAAUGAAAAAAAAGAAAAGGACUUGCUGACGUUGCUGUGUGUAAAUGCAAUGGAGAUGCAAGCCUGCCAGCAGCCAGCAGCCCAUUAAAGCAUGCCAACUAACCCCAGGAGUUAAUAUGGAGGCCACCUACCUGAGAUCAGUACCACCCUGACAAGCCACAUCAACUAGAGCACAUAAUCACAUGAUACUGACAGUCUACUCCUUUUGCUACAACUUCUAAUAAGGUCAAAGUCUAAGACUAACCAUCACAAAAGAGCAUUGUUCUAUAAAUCAUUACCGAAACCAGAAAACCACUUUGAACACUAAUAAUUGUAAAAAAAACUCAAUCACGGGAGGAGACUCCCCCAUGCUUUGUUCUUAGAAGAUGACGUGCUUCGAACCCGGGUCGGUACAGGAGUUUCAUCGACUCCCGGAGUUCAACGCUCUAACAGGUCCACGUGAGAAGCUUGGCAAUUGUAUAGCAACAUCGACAUAUGGCCAAAAUGCUUUUCCAGAUGAAUCUAAUCAUAUCACGAGCUUUUAAAAAGUAUAUUGUUGGUCAAAGUUUAAAAAUGUUGAGCACAUGCAACCCAAAUAACGACACAAUUUGUGACUAGAGGGAGAAUAGUACAUAUUGGUUAUUAAUUAACAAGCAAAGAAAUGAUAGAAAUUUAACCAGUACCUGGAUCUGGAUGCCAUGAUGAACGUGAGAGGAGGAUGUGUUGGGUGGACAGCUGGUAGGGAUCUGCUGACCAUCUUCAGACAAACCAGCCUCUGCAGCCGCAGAUGGUGGCAGCAGGAAACACGCUGCGAGCGCCUCGUGCCUCAGCGCCACCGUCAUGUUGGCCAUCUCCACCAGAUCUCCCCAGUACGCAGCCCUGCUACCGCUACUACUCCAGCUACUGUUGUUGUUGCCGUCCCUUGGGAUCACCAUUGCCGUGAAGAUUGUCAGGCACAAGAACAGCAGGAACCCUAUCAAAUGCCUGCAGGAUUAACAGUAAAUGUCAGGCAAAUAUGUGCAGGAAUCGAUUAGUGUCUGAAGAAGAUCAAGGGUUGGGUAAGAAGGAACUGAAUUGUGGAGAUCAUGAGAGGAGGGACUUACGACCAAACGUUGAGGGUCUCGUUGUGGAUGGAGAAGAUGCUGAGGAUGGUCUCCUUCAUCGGCCACUCGCACCGGUAGUAGCCGUGGAUGAACUCGUUGUCCUUGAGCCACUCCGGCAGCGCCUCGUACCCGAUGAGCUCACACUUCUUGCUCUGCUUCUCCUUCUUCCCGUCAUCGGCGCCGACAUUCCAAGGUAUGCAGGAAGAGGUAGUGGUAGGAGAAGAAGCCAUGGGUGAAGUUCCUCCUCCAAGCUCUCCGGCACCUCUUGGUUGCAGGCUUGGCUUGUGCAGUGGCCGCCCUUGGCCUUUCUUCUUGCACAUAACACCACAGCAAUGUGGUUGUGUAGCUCGUCAAGACAAGGAACCAUGCAUCAGAAGCAAGCUGCUAUGCUGGCUGGCAAUGGUGGUUGGCUUGUGCAAUGGUAUAGAGAUAGAAGUUUUGUGUGUGGCGAAGUGGACGUAUGUGCCUCUCUUUAUAUGCAUCUCUCUCUCCCUCCUAGCAGUCUUGUCUUGUGCUUGGAGCCAAUGUUGCUCUAUGGAGCCAAACAAGGAGUGCAAAAGCAAUUGGGAUCUUUUGAGACCACAUACUAAUAAUAUUCCAAUUUGAGUAGUUGAUCCCUCCACGUAGAUGCCAAGAUUCCCGUAUGGCUAUGUGACCUAGUAGUUGGGGUUGUGUUGAUGUGAGAAAGGGAGAAGUGGUUGAAAUUGCUUGUCCCAUACUCCCAUGUGUGUUCAAGGGGGAGGAGAAAUUUAAAAUCUGUCCUAUGUGUCCCUUUUCUGUUCUUAUGAAGUACUAUUAUUGUAUAUAUUUACGACUUUCUUGCAGGAUUUGGUUUAUUUGCAUGGAGUACUGAACACUGCCGCUGCGCGGUUUCUUCCAAGAAAUCAAACGAGCAAGAUCGAUCAGAUCAAGUUUUCUUUAUUGCUGUUGGUUUGUUACUCGAUGGCGUAUCAUCAUCUAAAUACUGUUCUUUGGGAAAAGAAAUCAUGUCAGGAAUGGAUAAGUGGAGAAUUAAGCAAGAAAGGUUAGUCGCAAAACACACGCAACAACACAAACAAGAAUUAGCAUUAGGAGAACUAAUCACCAAACCUUUUCCUUCAGUCGUUGGCGCCCUAGAGCACUGACCACGCGGUAGCUGUCAACUCUGUUCCCUUUUCAAUUACUACUACCUUGUAGUGCUGGCUGGGCUGUCAAAAUUCCCUGAACCGACAGAUCUGAUGCUGCACAUGCGUAUGCUCCAACCUGAUGACAUUGUCCGAUCGAACGCUGUGAAAAAGCUCAGUAUGCAGUAAACAAUUGCAGCAACUACUUGGGAAAUGGCAUUCUCUGUUCUUCAGAGUACUGGACAUGCGUGAGCAGGGAGCCACGGACAUAUUAAUUGAGCUAGGCAGUAGGUUACAUCAGGGUGAAAGGACGAAGAACUAGAAUGGACAAGAUCUGCAGGAUUGCAGUGAAAGUUUUGUAGUGUACAUUAGUUUUAGACCCUGCUUUAACUACAAGGAGAAUCAGUAUCAGCUAACAAGAAUGUGAGAUGAGAACAUUCUUUAGUAGUAUGUAUGUGUGCUACUGACAAACUAGGUUUUAAUUUAAUUAGGAACUAUUGGUAUGUUUUUGUCUGCCGAGUAGCUAGGCUAAUUAUAGAUUUACUCCAGCAUACUAGUAACUAACCUGGUUUUAUUAGAAUAUCGGUUCGUCCUAGGAUCCAAUGCGUGAGAAUUUCAUUAAUCAGCCUACUGGGGUCCAUCACCCAAGUUUAGUCAUAUGCGAACCGAGCUGCAGCUGUGGCCUCACCCAUCUUGGCUUUGAACAUAUAGGUGUUAACAUUUUUUCUUAUUAAAAGGUGAUGGGCUAGCUGUUCCCUCUUUUGUCCAAAAAAAGAUUCAUAUGCUUCAUUUGAUCAUGAAAGCAUGCAGUUUUGAACUUACAUUUCGCCAAUUUUUUUUGAGACUUCUAAAAUUAACUUUCAAGAUUAUCAAAAGAUCAAAAUGACUUGUUUCAGAAAGUACUUUUAUACUGUUAAUCAUAAUUGCAUUGGACCCUUUUAGCUGCACCUUACACUCCCGUUGGCUCUGGGUACGAGUGAUCCUACACCCCAAGAAAACUUGGCUCAGCAUUGUAGAAAUACAUUAUGUAUCAGGGUCGGUUUCUAGCUUAUAUAAUGAACCUUUAUCCGGUCUGUGCAUUGUGCCGUCGGGCCGGAGUCUCGACAACACCUAUUCGCAGAGUGUCGUUUCACAAGGUGGAUUUGGGCUCAGAUGUCUGUUUGGAUAGGUUUGCCGGCGAUGCAUCCGGAUGAAUGGGAUUAUGGGAGCCAGUAGAAUCUGUUCAUGACUGGUGGAAGGCGAGGGCGAGGACGACAGGGACAGCACGCAAAGGAAUGAAGUCGAUCACUAUUUUGAUUUGCUGGGAAAUUUGCAAAGAGCGAAACGCUCAUAUUUUCAAGGCACCGUCCAUGGCAGUUGCUACAAGAAUUAGAGAUGAGAUUUCAAAUUGGAUCUUGGCGGGAGCAAAAUACUUAGCUAGACUUGUUCAUACUUUGUAGAGUUUUUUCCACCGGAUUUUUAGUUUUACCAUUUAUAAUUUCCAUCUUACACUUUUUAACUUAACAGGCAACUCUCCUGCCAGUUCGUUAAAAAAAUAUAAUGAACCUUUGGCUUAUUCAGCCGUCAACGAGGAAGAGGGGAAGACCAAUCACUUAUCGGGGCAUCCGCCAUCCAGACUUGUGGAGCUUGGAGACAGGGCUAUGAGGCUAAAAAAAAUACUUUUAAAGGGAAUAGCACAAGGUAUUUUCAGCACACCAACCACAUAAAAGUAGAACAGUAAAGGGCUCCUCACAAGGUGACAAAUAAGUUUUUAAAGGGAAUAGCUGAUAUGAGUAUUAUAGAAACCGAAUCACUCUUGAUCUACUUCCAAAUAAGUUUUUUUAGAAGGCUCCUUCCAAAUAAGUUGAACUGUCUCAUUAUUCUUUGUACUCCCUCCCUCCAAAUUGUAAGUCGUUUUGUUUUUCUAGAUUCAUAGAUAUUAUUAUGUAUCUAGACAUAGUCCCUCCAUCCCUGCAAAGAGUGUCCCUUUAGUUCUGUUUUAAUUCUGUUUUAAGUCAAACCAUCUUAUAUUUGAUUAAGUUUAUAUAAAAAUAUAUCAAUGUUUUUGAUGUCUAGCAAAUUUCAUUAGAUUUGUUAUGAAAUAUAUUUUCAUAGCAUAUCUAUUUAGUGAUAUAAAUAUUGAUACUCUUCAUUAUAAAUUUGGUCAAAUAAAACAGUUUGACUUAGGACAAACAUAAAAGGACACUCUUUGCGGGAUGGAGGGAGUGUAUAUCUAGAUGCAUAAUAAUAUCUAUUAAAUAGAAAAUUAAAACGACCUAUAAUUUGGAACGGAGCGAGCAGUUAAGAGACGUGAAAAUAAGAAUGUUUCAAGUACAGAGGGGACAACCAGCUCGAUUUAUGGAAAUGAUCAAGGGAUGAGGCUUUUGUAAGGAUUGUUGGAGGCCCAAAGAAUGGCCAAGAAAAUGAGACGUCCCAAGUCCCACCGACCGCUCGAAGAGAUUAUUUCUACUUCAAACUCUUUUUCUUGUGCAAUCCCUUUUGCCCGCUGCCGACCUCAGCCACGCGCGCACGCCGCCGCCGGCGCCACGUCACGUGACGCGCAGCGCCGUCCAUCCUCCUUCCUCCAUUCCUCUGCUCCCGCAACGAAACGGGCCCCACCCCACCCCCCUCCCCUUCCUCAAAACUUCCCCUCCCCUCCACCGGUUCGACCGGUCCGAAAAUGCUGCACGCACGCGCCUUCCUCCCACGAAACUUCCACACAACCGACUGACCAGCGGGCCACGCCACCGCACCGCCUCACACGGGCCCACGCGUCGGUGGCAUUGGCAUCACACCUCCACCGCGCGGAACGCCUCGCCCACCCGCGGAAUCCGCACCCGAAUAUUCCACUCGCUCCCUUCCCCCAGCCGCUCGCUCCUCUUCCUCCACGCCUCAGGUGCUCUCCGGUCACCCACCGCCCAUUCGAAUUUGCCAACGUGCACGCGUCGAUAUCUCACGACCGACCCCAGAUCAGAGCGCCGCUACCAUGGGGAGCUCACCGGCGGCGGCGGCGGCGGGGCCGAGCACGGCGCUGGAGGACCUGCCGGAGGACGCGCUCCUCUGCAUCCUCGCCUUCCUCGCGCCGCCCGACGCCGCCGCCGCCGCCUGCGCCUGCCGCCGCCUCGCGUCCGCCGCGUUCUCCCCGGCGCUCCCGCUCGCCCUCGCGCUCCGCCUCGGCCUCCCCUGCCCCCUCCCCUCCCCGCCCUGCCCCGCCGCGGCCCGCAGGCUCCUCCGCUCCCUCCACCGCCUCCGCCGCCUCCGCGGCCUCUGGCGCCGCCUACCCUCCUCCUCCACCAACUCCCACUCCCAACCCCCGUCCCUCGCCACGUUCGAGUGGGCGGCGGCCCCGCGCGCCACGCUCGCGGCAUCCCUCCUCGCCCCAUCCACGCGCGGCGGCGGCGUCUCCAUGUCCCCCUUCGUCACGCUCUCCAUCGCCGACUCCGGGGACACGGUCGCCGCGGCGGCGGCGGCCGCCGGGGACGUGCCGGUCUGCGUCAACUUCGUCGGCAACAACCACAUCGUGGUGGAGGCGGCGGCGGCGGCGGGGGAGGACGAGGAGGUGGAGAUGGUCAGCGGGUCCCCGCCCGAGGAGAUGUACGCGCACUUCGCCAACAGGAGGAGCCCCGGGGCCGGGAGGAGGAGGAGAGCCAAGCAUGGGAGGAGAGGAGCCUUCAUGGAGCCCGAGCACUUCGUCAGGAUCGCGGAUGCUGAGCCCACCCAGGCGCGCCCGAUCCAGGGCCUGUGGAAGGUGCUUCCUCUCUGCGCAGAGCUUGCUCGUUUGUUGUCGCACGAUGUCCGAGCGGUGCUGUUUCUAUUGCAGAGUUUGAUUGUUUCCGUAUCAUGCUUGUUGAGUGCUCGCGAUGUAGCUGCUGUGAACCGUGAAAUGCUAUUUCCUGUUCGUGCAAUAGCCCAUGAAUGAGAGGUCAGGUAGUGCACAAUUUGCUCGCCAAUUCCAUGAAGAUGCCUCAUUCACUCUGGGUCAGGAACCUUACACCGUUGGAUUGGGAUUGAGUAGAAGAUCAGUACCUUGCACCCUUUUGUAAACAUAUAGGAGCAAGGUCCCUUCGUGCUUACAACUUCUCCAUUUAAAGAUCUGUAGUUCACAUUGAUUGGCACACAUUACCAGCACAACUUUGGACAUCGAACUGAAAACUGGAUGCAACAGUUUGAGUUUAUAUUGAAAUAUUGAAUGGAUGUUGCAAAAGAAUUACAUUCUCAUGUCACAGUUUUGUGGAGUCAGAUAUGUCCACUCAGGUUGAAAUUUUGCACAUUCAGCACGUCUGCAUUGACCUGCUUAGUGCUUGCUUGCCAUGCACUUGCUUGACAUAUUUGAAGUUAUGUGCUUGCUAAGCUAACACCUCUAGAAUUUCUGGGAUGGUUGUUUUUAAUUGGCUCAAUCGGAUACCACUGUGGAGAGCAUGAAGCUGUUUCUUUAGAGUUGACUAUUGGUGUUGUUACUAGCAUGUUAAUACUUUAAGCUGCAUUUAUAUGCUCAAGCAGUCGUGGACAGCUUUUAAAUCUUCUGGGGUGUAAUUUUUGCAGACAGGAUUUGCCUGCUGGUGUUCAUGUAGACUUUGAAUCCUGUACUGUUUCCAGAAUCGCUAGUCCAUGUUGCAAAUCAGGCUAGUCAAAUGGCAAGCAUUGUAUAUGGGAUGGAGUUUUGUUUGCCAGCAUUCCUAGUUGUGUCUUUCAUGGUUUGAUGACUGCUGUUUCAUAAUCCCUAGCAUUAUGGCCAUUGUUGAUUAACACAGAACUAUGAACUGGAGUUCUUUAGCUUUACUGUGAUUCGCUUGACCCUAAAUUAAUGUCACCAGGAAGCAUACUAGUUCCGAAUGUCAAUAUGGAAAUCGGUACCCAGAACAACCCUAGUCCCUAUGGAUUUGGAUACUAGUUUCAUUGGAUCUUAAUACUUUAGAAGCUUCAAGAAAUCGCAUUCGGUCCUUCCGAAACAUUUCUGGACAGCAUACCCUCCAUGGCUGGCUAGUUCCUAACGCUAUUUGUAUGUGUCAAAAUAAUCAUGGUUUUCUGGGUUUCUUCUGUCAAUGAAAGCUGGGGAAAUAGCAGUUAAAUUUUUCCCAUAUCAAUAUGUUAUCAACUAGUUUUGUUUUAUAAGAAAACCAUUAUGGAGGCUAGAUAGAAUUAGGUGCGCCUUUUGCUGCAUAUUAUCAUGGUGAAUUAGUUAUGGUUUAUGUGAUCAUCCUCAUUUGAAAUCCUACAACAUUUUGUGGUUGAUGUUAUCUUGUUUUUUCAAAUGGUGAUGUUAGAUUGUUCAGCUUUUUGCGACUUGCCUCUUAGAUUUGAAGCAGCAUUUUAUCAUUUUAUAUGAUUUGGAAAGUACAGGCUAAUUCGUGCAACUGUGUAGCAGUUGUGAUUCUCUAGAUGUGAGAUCUCAGGAAAAGUUAUACAUCAUCACUAAAACUUAUUAAAUUUUCAUCUCAGUUUUAUCUUGCGAAUGGUGAAUGUCCACAAUUUGGAUUUUUUAAAUGUUCAUUAUUUUUCGUUUCUUCAAAUAAUUGAUUUCCUCCUGUUGUAUAAUUGGUCUUUUGCCAUGCACAUAGAAUGCUGUUAGCUUAAGACAAUGUUAUUUUUUUAAUUUCCAGUUUGAGGAUUACUAUAUACAUGGUUGUAUGAUUUAUAUAUCAUUAAAUCACCUAUUUUUUUAAUAGUGGAGCUUUGCUAUGCAUGUUACGUUAACUUCCAUGUUCUCCAGGGUAUAUGUGAGGAUAGGACUCCGGAAUUUUACCUUGUCGCCUAUGAUGACAUUGGUGGAGUAACUUGUCGACGAUUUAGUGAUACAAGGGGCCAAAACUCUGGCUACUCUCCUGUCUUUUGGACGGCAGGUACUACAUUUCUUGAACCACCAUUCUCCGAGCAAGAGCUGGAUAAUUAUAGUAACCGCUAUCACAUCCAAGGUGUGACUUCCAACCAUGCAUGCUCUGAGAACAGGGUUAUCUCUCGGAUAUUGUGCAUCAAUUCCAGUCAUGAUGUGGUUGAUCCUCAUCUAUCAACCCCCUUAGAUGACGCGAGAAGUGUGGAGGGAAGGAUUUGGCUAUAUGAGGAUGGAACCUUCGGGUUUGGAUUUAUUGGCAGUAAUUCAGUUAUAGAUCUGAGGCAUGUCUCCUCAGCUGGUUGUAUUCUUGAUACUUAACAUUAAAUCUGGGUCUUGCUGGCACAUAAUCUUUGCCAGCAAAUCCCUUGUACAGUACUUUUAGGGAAAUUCAAUAGUUGGCGUUGAGGCAUGUUGCCUCCAGUUGUUGUACUCUUGAUGACAAGUCGCUGAAUACGGGUACCAUCUGGCAUGUAAUUGCUGCUAGAAUACCCAUGUAUCCUGAUACUGAACCAAAACUUGGUCCCUUCUGGCAUGUACUUGUUGCUAGAAUACCAAUGUACAUUACCAUUUCUUCAUUGAAUCCCAAUAAAUUGCAACUGUUAUUUCCUCAUUGGAGUUGGUACAUCCUUAUAGAUGAAUACUAUGUCCUUGUUGCCAACUUUACAAUCUACUCCCUCUGUCCCAAAUUACUAUUCAUUUUAGCUUUCUAAAUGCAUAGCAUUUGCUAUGCAUCUAGACAUACGAACAGUACCUAGAAAAACCAAAACGAAUAGCAAUUUGGGACAGAGGGAGUAGCAAUUAAGAGAUGUUCUGUGACUUCCUAACUUUCAAAUGUCCUCGUCCAUCAUAGGAAGUUUGUUAAGUUGUCAUUUACUACUGUCCUCUCUUGAGAAAUAAUAGGAAAGUUCCAGUUCCUGUUGGUGUUUAAGAAGUUUUCUUUGUCUUACAUAAAUACUUUUGCUAACUUGAAAAAUGUACUGGUAAUAGUGGUAGUGCCAGUUCCAUAGCUGUAUACCAGCAUAAUUGAUUUACUCAUGUGGCACUGCUUUUUUUUUGUCUUCGUAAAAUAUUUUUUUCAUCGUAGUUGCAUCUUCCAAAGAGUAAGUCGCUCAUUCAAUUUAAUUGUCCUGAAAAGCAUCUUUUUCUGUGCAAUCAUUCCUCAAGUUUCUGGGGAAAAAAUGCUGACAAGAUUAUUGUCUGGUCUCUCCAUUAUUCAAAUAUGUAGCUUAGGGCCAAAUAUUUUGCAUCCUUGUCAUGUAACUUCAUCUGGUUUUGAUCUUGUGGUACAGUGAUUUGCUUUUUCCUGCAUACUUCGUAUGUGGAUGGCAUUAAUAUGUUAUGUCUUUCUAAUAAGGCCUUUAUAUUUCUGCACUAGGUGGAAAUCUGAUCGGCAGAAGCUACUAUCUGUUGUCAUCUAAUUUAAUGGAAACCUGAAUACACAUGACUUGUUACACAUCAAAUUGGGUGAACAAAUUGAGUCCCUUGCUUGUAUUGGUUGCUGCUUCACUGGUAGGAAAUGCUAUUGCAAAUUUGCAAUAUUGCUGCAGAAAUAGUAAAAUCAUCUGCCAACUUUUGACUUUAAGCAGCAACAAGAAUAUAUACAGCUAAGGACAGCUCUAGUGCAUCAACGACACAGGCUUUAUCUUUUGUCUGCAUGAUCCAGAACAAUACAAAUUAAGAUGUAGAGAACUUUUGCCUUUAUCUAUUUUAUAUUUUUCAUAGUCCUGCCUUCUAUUUCCUUAUAAAUAGGCAUAACAAGAUCAACAAAAGGUCUAAAGUCUGUUCAUUGGGGUUGCUGACUUAUAGAAUGAUUUUAUGGUAAUUUAAAUACCUGAGUCGUACCAAAACAUUUAUGUUCAAUAUAAAAUUUUGCAUGGUUUCCACACUAUGCACUGAGUCUUCCCUUACGGAUAUCUACUUGCAGUAUUUUUACUGUACUACAUCAUUCAUUCGUUCUGUACACUGGAGUUAUUGUUGUCCCAGAACAUGCUUAAUUUUGGUACUAUGUAUGGCAAAUUCCUUACUUUUAUCCCUUUAUUAUUUGUGUACAUGCCAACUUAGAUGUGUGGUCCAAUUAAGGGCCCUCACAAUAAAUGUUACUGUCCUGUUUGCAAGAAAACAAAUCAAAAUGGUUGAUGGAUGGGUAAUUGUCAUGUUAGUUGGUCUUAGGGACAGUUAGUGAAGGAAAUUGUCAGGAUAUUCAAGCUGGUGCUAGGGGAUCUCAGUGGCUGGGCAAUGACUGUCAUGAUUCAUCAUCACUUAGAAAACUAGUGCCACCUUGGAUCCUCUCAACUUUAUAUUUCUUGGGACAGGUUCAUUAUCCUCCAUGGGAUCCUGAACCCUUUGUAAAUAAUACAUUUGUUAUAUUGUUAGAAACAAUAAAAUGUGAUGGUUGUGCCAAUUUUGGAUUCAUUUGGGCAAUUAAACUCGAAAUAUGUGUUUGUUGGGUACUGUAUGGAUAUUCGUAUCGUGCAACACUCUGAAUUGUAAUAAUGGACUUGUUGACUUGCUUUACACCUGCACGAAAGCUUUUCUCUACCUUCUGGCAUAAAAUUAUAUUUGCAUUACACCUUGUUGUAUGGUCUAUUCGGUACUGAUUAUUAAUUCGGUUUGGAUCUGUACCUUUUCCUUUUGAUGCAGUGCCAGGUAAUCGAUGUUCUCUCAAUUUUGAAAGCUUUGCUUGUUCAGAGUUUGCUUCUUUCCCUUCUUUUCUGUUUUUAUGCAUACUUUAGUCAAAUUCAUUACAACAAAAGGUGGAUCAAGAAUUUACAGCUCUCUGUCUUGUAUACGCAAAUGCUGAAAUGCAUCUUCGAAGCAAUGAAAAAGGGGAAACCAGGUAGAUAUAUUUUGACUCAAAUAUAACAAGGUUUGCAUGCAGAUACAAGAUGAUGUAUCAUUGUUCUCUGAAUGCACAUGACCUCCAUUGGUGAAACUGAAAUGGAACCAUGCCACAGGAAGAUAUAGUGCUCUUGAGCAAAUGCAAGAAGAUUCAUUAUUCAUCUGUGGAACAAUGCUCAAAGAUUAAUACUCUGCUUCUUCAUCCUCCAGCGACCCAGCCUGUGAUGUCUUCUCAUGAUCAUUCUCGAGCUGGCUGAAGUUCCCCUUCUCCUUGAUCAGCUGAAUGUGGUGGUGCUUGCAGUAGAGCUUCCCCUCGUGCGCGAUAUAGUUGGAAGGGCUGAUGGUGCAUCCUCCAUGGCAGCACUUGAAGCAGCUCUUGUGAUACAUAGUGUUGUUGACAGUAACCUGAAGGAUUAGUGGACGUGUCGCAAUCAGCAUAUUGCUAUUCAUGCAAAUUAACUCUCAAGAGGUAUGACAUGCUUGUCACCUUUCCAUCUUUCAGCAGAAAGUAUCAAUAAUCGAGCUUCCAAUAUGGAAGUGCAGCAAAUGCUGUCUUCAUGGACAGACUUUUUAUUUAUUUGUUUGUUUAUUUAUUCUCAAACACAUAUUUAUAUAAUUCACAAAUGUGAAUCCAGUGACCGUUGUCAAGUAUCAAUAAUUGAGCAUCCAACUUGGAAAUGCAGCAAAUGCUGUAAUCAUGGAUACAACUUUUGACAUUUUUUCCUUCUCAGAAACAUUAUAUUUGUAUAAAUCAUGAAUGAGAAUUCAGUAACAGGUUGUCAAGGACACUGAAACUGCAGACAAAUGAUUGAGAUAGUAGAAUAUGGAAUCGUACCCUCUCAAUUGGAUAGACUGUCUUGCUGCAUCCAACACAUUUCUCUCUGGUGCCAGCAAAGACGCUGGAGACUUUAAUAGCAUUCUGCCAAAAUAUGCAAUCAUGAUGAGCAUAACCAAGUGCCAGUUGCUGAUGAAGAACAAAAGAUGAAUAGUGCCACUUGGAUGGUAUGAAACAUUAAGGCCAUACAAUGCUGAUCUAGUGAUCUGCUUCAUGGGGGCCCUAGGUUUUAUCAGUGUUUUCCUUCUUGCUAUACUCAAUUUUUGAGCUAGAUUUACUCUGUUCAGAUCCAUGCGUCACACUUGAGGCUUUGAGUGGCUAUUUAUCUGACACUUCUCUCACUAGUGUGUAUUUGUGUGGUCACUUCAUAUUCGAGGAGUUGGACUGCAUCUAUCCUGAUGAAUGAUUCAAAUGUCUAUCGGUUUUUCUGUGUAAUUUAUUAACUUAAUUUAAAAAAGACAAUUAGACAGUGCAAUAUGGACUACUUGACAUGCGUGAUGUGCCUAUUCUGUAAAGCAUGAAUCAUAGCUUGUUGCAUACCUCAUUCUCAACAUUUCUUUCUGGCUUGACAACCUUUGGAGUCCCUGAACAUUUGCAGGUGAGGAAUGGCUAAUCAGGCUCAAGAACGACCGGAUCUCUAUGUGGUGCAAAUGAAUCAAGGGAACGGCCUAAUCAAUUCAUACCUUCGAAGCUCUUGUCCAGACUCCCGGUCCUCUUGAAGAGCUGGUCGAAGUGAGGCCUGCAGUAGAGCACCCCCUCGAAGGAGUUGUAGUUGGCAAGCUGCAGCAGAGACAUCGCCACACACACACACACCACCAGUAAGUCUCACUGGUCACUGCCUUAUUGCAUAUUCCAGCAAUGAUACAAAUCUCAGAGAAGUUGAAUAGCAGCAACUUCUGAACUGAGCAAACCGAGUUCAGUGUGGUCGGGUAAGGCAGCAGCGGUACCUUGAGGGUGCCCUUGCAGUGGUGGCAUCGGAAGCAGGCCUUGUGGUAGACGCGGUUGUCGGCGGUGAGCUUGUCGACGAGGUACACCGUCUUGUCGCAGGCGGUGCACUUGGUGGUCGUCCCCUGGAACGAGGUCGCCAUUGCCGUCUUCCCCCUCUUCCUCCCCUGCAACAACACGCUCUCUUCCUACAGCAGAGGCAAAGGCUGCUGGUGGUGGCUGGCUAUAUGGGAACGGUGUGGCGGGGUGGUUGGUGGCUGGCGGGGUGCAGCCAGGUAUUGACACCGCUGGGCAGGACAGGACACAGCUCGUGAUGGAUGGGGAAUGUUGGGGGUGGCACGCGGCCUGGCAGAUCAGCUGAGUUGGGCUGGGGGUGAAGGAGCAGGGGAGCCCGGGAGGGGGAGGGGUGUGUACGUACGAGGUGGGGGGGGCCGACCUGCUCGUCCGGCGUGAACGGGGAGGAGGAAAUGGUUGUGGCGGUGGUUGUGGAAAAUUUGCGGAGGGGCGAAGCAAGAUCUGCCGGCAAGGGAGACCGACGGUGACAAAAGGGGAGCGGGAAAACAGUAUGGGACAAUCAUUAGAGAGAGGCAGGGAGGGGGAAUGAUUCUGAUUGAUGCGUGUUUUCAGAACAGGGAGUGCAGGUGGGUGAAAAACCUGCUUCUCCUCGCCAGAGGGGGAGUGGAGUGGAGUGGGUGGCUUGUGAUCUUGACGAAAGGCUCUGCUCUGCAUUCCUCUCCUCGAGUGAAACCGGUUCUGGGGAUCUCUGCUUUGAUUGGAACACGGUGCCAUACGCCCACACCACACCAUGUGCACUGAAUCAGAGCUUGACGUGGCUGCAGGCUUUCUGUCUUCACUGCCUCUGGUUGCUUCUAGUCACAGUUGAAGUUAAACAGUUUCAAUCUUUGUUCCCUUUUUCCUUGUCAUUCUAGUGGGGUUCCUUGCUUCUAGUGAGUGGAGGCCAAAAAAAAGAAGGAAAAAAAAUCAUUUCUUUGCUAAUUACCUGUGCAGCCAUAAUAUAACUAUUUUUCAUAUAUACUUGUUCAUAUUCUGCUCCGACAUGAUGCAUGUAACUUAGCCAAAAAAAUUGAAUUUAACUCACUUUGUAUGUAAACUACGUCGUAUAUUUGACUCAUUUGCUUCUUUCAGGAAUGCGCGAUGCAAGGAUCAAGAUCCAUCCAUGAAAAAAAAGGCAGGCAAUGUUUACAUAAAGUUAAACAGGCAAUACACGAUUUUUUUUUUAACAUAGCCAGCGAUUUUAAAUUUUCGAGCCCCUCUGCAUGAUUUAGUGGCAUCUUCUUUUCAGCCUCGCCAUUCCACCUCUUCAAUUUGUCGGUAGUUCCUUAGGAUGCUGGCAAGUUAGCUCAUGGCACAACAAAUCUGACAGCUGAUGUCGAAAACAGAUGUCUCAAUUAGGUCAAACAGAAUCAAAUUUCUUGUUACUUGACACAUAUAUUGUGCAGGCGUAUCUCUGCAUAGCUAUUAGCUCAACAGAUCUAGACGGCAAGCGGGCAUUUUUUUUAUAAAAAAACAAAAAAAAAUAGAUCUCCACGACAAGGCCACCCCAGCGAACAUGAAAGUAAGCCUGCAUAAGCGCCCUGUCAGGUCAGUUUUUUUUAAAAAAAAAAGAAAAUCCCUGUCAGGUCAGAUUCUUCCGUUGCAACCUUCAGCCUUACUCAUUGCCCAUGAUUUGUUCUUGUAAAGGCAAGCACUCAUCCUGAUUUAGAUGGAUGUUGCAUGUUCGUUGGCAUGUAAAAUCUCCAUGUGUGUGGGUCCAACUUACUAAUUGCAUUUCGCAGCUGUCAGCAGAUCCGUCGUGCCGUGCAUGCAUGAAAUGGUGGUGAUGAAUUUUUUUUCUUUUUCUUUUUGGCGUGGAGAGAAUACAUGAUGGGGGUCUGUUUGAUAAACGUGUGAGGGUGACAUCUCUGUUUGUGUGCCGGCGCGAUGCCUGUGUGCGAAAACGCAAAAUUUAACUGGCUCGGUGCAAUUUAUGUGUUGAUGAUUUAAUCCGGUGCAAAUUUAAAUCUACCCCCCUGUAUUCAGAUGGACUAUAUCUGCUGAUGUUUUGGGGGUUUGAAUAAAAGAGCACUUCUCUGAUGGCGUGACUUGGCUGCCAUACAGGUCAUUGCCACAUCAUCACGCCACGAAUCGAAACCUUGUUGCAGACAGAUGAGAUGUCCAAAACAUUUCAGAUAGCCGCUCGCUUCCAUCCUUAUAAGCAUCCUGAUAAAUAAAAUGCGAGUACCAAAGUUUCAGAAAAUCAUUCUGAAACGUUUGGGGCGCGAAUAGAUUGGGUUCAAAAACUGAUCACGACUUCAUCUACUGAAACAAAUUACACUCGAUAUUUUAAUAUACUAGGAACAGUUUUCUUCCGAACAAUUGGGAAACUAUCUUUAAUUUUCCAAAAAAAACCUUCAUGAUGCACAGGAAUGUGUUCAAAAGAAUAAAGAAAUGCUGCUGGCAGCCCGACAUAUAAAGGUUAUACACUCAUGUGACAUCGUAGCCAUUGAUAUGGUGAUCAAGGUUUCAUACAGCUUAGGAGUCAGAGCCAGGCACUAUCCUCCAGUUGCAAAAGAAAAGUUCACGACAAGGAUGAACUUGACCACCAGAUGUCACCAGCUUAAUAAUCAUCUGCUCAUUCGCGACUCGACGCCAGAUACUAGGAUCCAGGUCGGCACAGACCAGGAAAGACGACCAUCAAACAUAGUGCAGGAAAGGAGACGAAUCAUGAAUAUCGAAGUCAGAUCAGAAACUAAUCCAUCGACAAUUUUCUUGAGCUUUUUAAGGCAGAACAGUAAGUACCAUAAUUUGCCCAAGAGAGCCGGACAGGCAUUCGUAACAAAAGAGAAGAAACAACUACAUGGGGUUAGAACCCAACAUUGAUGGAAUCAGAGAAGAAAAUUCCACCAAAAAUACAAUUCCACGAGCAAAAACUUGCAGUCAACAGAAUUGCUUAAGGCUGCAGAGGCUAUACCUCUUUUGCAAGCAUCCUAUUUGUCUUGGUUUUCCUCUGCUUCCUGCUCAUAUCGGCGUUUGAACUUUGCAAUCUGGCCAAGGCUCUGAGCCAUUUGACGCUUGGCCCGCAUGUGGUACACUUUGCCAGUAUGGUUGACCUUGGUCAUCAUGAUAUUGAUCAGCCUACCACUCUGCGUCACAUAUGAAAUCCAUUGCAUCUGAGGAUGCAGUCCCUUCC